rnacentral:lncRNA from 1 species
AUAUUGAUGCUUGAUCCCCUCAUCACUAAGAAACUCAUCCAAGGUGUAGUUCUUGAACUCGGUGCCGUUAUCACUUCUUAUUGUCAGGAUCUUUGCAUCGUGUUGACGUUGACCUUCAUUUGCAAUACUUUCUCUUGAAGAAAUAUACCCAAGUGUACCUUGAGUAAUCAUCAACAAUAACCAAGCAAUACUUUCUACCCCCAAGACUAUCAAAGGAUGGAGGCCCAAAGAGAUCCAUGUGAAGGAGCUCCAAGGGUCUCUUCGAGUAGAUGAUAGUCGUGGGAGGGUGAGCCUUCUCAUGUAACUUUCCUUUGAUACAAGCACUGCAAGCACGAUCUUUGGCAAAGCUAACAUUUGUUAGUUCAUGGACAUGGUCCCCCUUGAGAAGACUUUGCAAAGAUCUCAUAUUGACAUGGGCUAAACGGCGAUGCCAAACCCACCCCACAUCAACUUUAGCCAUUAGGCAUGUCGCAGUCUUAGUGGGUCACUUCGAAAAGUUAAUCACAUAAAGACCGUUCUCGACAUGCCCAACAAAGGCUACUUUAAGAGUCUUGCCCCACAAGAGGGCCAUGGUAUCAAUAUCAAAGAAUGUGGCAAAACCCAUGAGUGCAAGUUGACGAACGGAAAGUAAAUUGUAUGCAAGGGACUCAACAAGCAUGACUUUCUCGAUCGUGAGAUCAUGAGAAAUGAUAACCUUGCCAAGACCCAAUACCUUAGAAGAUGAGGCAUCACCCCACUCGACAUUGGUGGGCAUAGAUGGGAUCUUGUGUACUUCCACCACCAAGUCCUUGCUUCGGGUCAUAUGAUUUGUGGCUCCACUAUCGAGCAACCAUGACCCCCCACUGGAAGCAAACACCUACAAGAGAUCAAUGCUUGGUUUUAGGUACCCAUUUUGUAAUGAGUCCUUUGAUGUUAGUAACAAGGGUCUUAGGAACCCAAAUAGACCAUUCAAUGUACUCAUAAGGAGAACCAACAAAUUUAGCAUAAACAUGCCCAUCACUGGCACGACACAACACUAAGAAGGGUUAAAGUCGCCGGCUUUGUUGGAAGGGGUGGCAUUGCCCUUUUUGACAUCACCACCCUUCACAUUGUUAUUCUUCUCCUUAGAGUCACCCUCUCCCUCUUUCACAAAAGUUUGCUUUAGAGGAUGAGGUCGUUUGGCCUUGUCAUUCUUCUUCUUGUUCUUGGACUUGGGUGCAAACCCAACUCCUUCCUUGGCCACAACUUCCUUUUGAUUGCUCAAAAGGUCAUUGAGAUUCUUCUCACCUUGUAUGCAAGACACAAGGCCUUUAUCAAGUUGCUCCUUCAACUUGGCAUUCUCCUCCACAAGAUGCACAUGCUCACAACACGGGUUAGUAGCAUUUGCAUUCUCAAUUAAGACCAUAUGAGGAAAAGUGGCUUUCUCCUUGGUUAGCUUCACUUGGAGUUGAUCAUGAGACUCCUUGAGGCUAGCAUGAGCACCCUUCAAGGCCUUGUGAGUGUUGUCAAGUAUAUAAAACUCCUCUUUGAGUUUAGCAUGUUCAACCCCAAGUUUAGCCUUCUCGGAAUCGAGCACACGAGAUACAACAAGAGCAUGAUCAAGAUCUUUCUUUAAUUUAGCAUGGUCAUCGUUGUGUGACUCCUCAAGAGCCAAACGAUGAACACGCUCUUCCUUAAGCGCAUUAGAGAGGUCCGGUAUCUCAUCGGCAUAGUCACGACUAUGACCUUCCAUCUUAGAGAUGGUUUCUUCAUGAGCCUCGAUCGUGUCAUUGGCUUCACCAAGUUGUUCCAAGAGAGCAACAAAGUGCUUCUUGGAUUUGCCCUUGAGCUUCCUCAUAAAAGACUCAAAUUCAUUUACUUCCUCAUUAGACCCAUCACUUUCAUCAAUGCAAUCCUUCAAGGAAGGAUUAGUAAUGAUGGUAGUUUUGAUGUUGGGGGUUACCUUGUUGGUGGCUUUGGCCAUGAUGCACUUGGCGGUGAUGUUCUCGUUGGGUGAAUCGAAGAGAGACACCCGUGGAGUUGUGGCAAUGGCAACGGAGGCCAUGGCCAUGGCUUCACCAUCUUCAUCAUCAUCAUCAUCAUCCUCAUUGUAUUCUUAUUGUGCCACCAACCCUUUGGUCGGAGUCUUCUUGGUGAAGUUGUACUUGUUAGGGAAGGACUUGGCUUUGUCUUUUCAGAUGAGCUUGCCACCAUUGUGUUCCCGCUUCUCGUAAGGGCACUCCGUAACAAAGUGGAUCACAUUGCCACAAUUGUAACAUGUUCUCACACAUUGCUUGCCCUUGAAGCCACUUGAGUUGUUCUUGUUGAAAUUUGGCCUUGAGUUCUUCUUGCUCCAAAAUUGCCUUGAAGCAAGAGCCAUGUGCUCAUGAUAGUCAUAUUUUGUAUCUUCGGGGUUGCUCUCCUCAUCUUCCUCUUCAUCCUAUUCUUCUACACUAGCCUUGGCCUUCAAGGCAAGGUUGGGCUUCUUUGCUCUUUGAGAACGCAACACCGCAUUGUCGGCGGUCUUGCCCAAGAUCCUCAUUGCCACAAACUCAUCCAACACUUCACUUGAGGACAAGGUGUGGAAGUCCGGCCUUUGACGGAUGACGGAGGACAUGGCCUUGUGGUAAGGCAUCAUGGCCUUGAGGAAUUUGUGCUUGAUCCAAUUAUCAUCUAUAUCCUUGCUCCCAUGAUCUCAGAGAGAGACCACGAGAGUGGUUAAUCUCCGGUAAAUCUCACGAGCUUCCUCAUCUUCAUUCAUUGCAAACUCAUCGGCUUCAUCUUGCACCACUUCAUAGUUGGAGCAUUGAAUGCUUGCGCUGUUGGAAAUAUGCCCUAGAGCAAUAAUAAAAGGGGUUAUUAUUAUAUUUCCUUGUUCAUGAUAAUUGUCUUUUAUUCAUGCUAUAAAUGUAUUAUCCGGAAAUCGUAAUACACGUGUGAAUACAUAGACCAUAACAUGUCCCUAGUGAGCCUCUAGUUGACUAGCUCGUUGGUCAACAGAUAGUCAUGGUUUCCUGACUAUGGACAUUAGAUGUCAUUGACAAUGGGAUCACAUCAUUAGGAGAAUGAUGUGAUGGACAAGAUCCAAUCCUAAGCAUAGCACAAGAUCGUGUAGUUCGUUUUGCUAGAGCUUUUUCAAUGUCAAGUAUCUCUUCCUUAGACCAUGAGAUCGUGUAACUCCCGGAUACCGUAAGAGUGCUUUGGGUGUACCAAACAUCACAACUUAACUGGGUGACUAUAAAGGUGCACUACAGGUAUCUCCAAAAGUGUCUGUUGGGUUGACACGGAUCGAGACUGGGAUUUGUCACUCCGUAUGACGGAGAGGUAUCUCUGGGCCCACUCGGUAAUGCAUCAUCAUAAUGAGCUCAAAGUGACCAAGUGUUUGGUCACGGGAUCAUGCAUUACGGUACGAGUAAAGUGACUUGCCGGUAACGAGACUGAACGAGGUAUUGGGAUACCGACGAUCGAGUCUCGGGCAUGUAACAUACCGAUUGACGAAGGGAAUUGUAUGCGGGGUUGUUCGAAUCCUCGAGAUCGUGGCUCAUCCGAUGAGAUCAUCGAGGAGCAUGUGGGAACCAACAUGGGUAUCCAGAUCCCGCUGUUGGUUAUUGCCCGAGAGCCGUCUCGGUCAUGUCUACGUGUCUCCCGAACCCGUAGGGUCUACACACUUAAGGUUCGGUGACGCUAGGGUUGUAUGAAUAUGAGUAUGCAGCAUACUGAAUGUUGUUCGGAGUCCCGGAUGAUAUCCCGGACGUCACGAGGAGUUCCGAAAUGGUUCGUAGGUGAAGAAUUAUAUAUAGGAAGUGAUAUUUCGGCCAUCGGGAAAGUUUCGGGGUCACCCGGUAUUGUACCGGGACCACCGAAAGGGUCCCGGGGGUCCACCGGGUGGGGCCACCCAUCCUGGAGGGCCCCAAGGGCCGAAGUGGGGAGGGGAACCAGCCCUUAGUGGGCUGGUGCGCCCCCUAGGCCCACCCCCUGCGCCUAGGGUUGAAACCCUAGGGUGGGGGGGCCCCCACUUGCCUUGGGGGGUACUCCACCCCCCUUGGCCGCCGCCCCCUUGGGAGAUUGGAUCUCCUAGGGCCGCCGCCCCCCCUGGGGGCCUAUAUAAAGGGAGGGGGGAGGGGGGCAGCCGCACCCUGAAGUCCUGGCGCCCCCCCCCCCCUGCUACACCUCUUCCUCCUCCGUCACGUGCUUGGCGAAGCCCUGCCGGAGUGCUGCUGUUCCACCACCACCACGCCGUUGUGCUGCUGCUGGAGCCAUCAUCAUCAACCUCUCCUUCCCCCUUGCUGGAUCAAGACGGAGGAGACGUUAUGCUGACCGUACGUGUGUUGGACGCGGAGGUGCCGUCCGUUCAGCGCUAGGAUCUCCGGUGAAAGGAUCACGACGAGAAUGACUACUUCAACCCCGUUCUUUUGAACGCUUCCGCGCGAUCUACAAAGUGGUAUGUAGAUGCAAUAUCUCUCCCAUGACUCGUUACUUAGAUGAACUCAUAGAUGGAUCUUGGUGAAACCGUAGGAAAAAUUUUAAUUUUCUGCAACGUUCCCCAACAGUGGCAUCAUGAGCUAGGUCUAUGCGUAGUUCUCUAUUGCACGAGUAGAACACAAUUUUGUUGUGGGCGUAGAUCUUGUCAACUUGCUUGCCGCUACUAGUCUUAUCUUGCUUCAGCGGUAUUGUGGGAUGAAGCGGCCCGGACCAACCUUACACGUACGCUUACGUGAGACCAGUUCCACCGACUGACAUGCACUAGUUGCAUAAGGUGGCUGGCGGGUGUCUGUCUCUCCCACUUUAGUUGGAGCGGAUUCGAUGAAAAGGGUCCUUAUGAAGGGUAAAUAGAAGUUGACAAGAUCACGUUGUGGUUAUUCGUAGGUAAGAAAACGUUCUUGCUAGAACCCAAUUGCAGCCACGUAAAAGAUGCAACAACAAUUAGAGGAUGUCUAACUUGUUUUUGCAGUAAUUGUCAUGUGAUGUGAUAUGGCCAGAAGUUGUGAUGAAUGAUGAAUGAUAUAUUGUGAUGUAUGAGAUCAUGUUCUUGUAAUAGGAAUCACGACUUGCAUGUCGAUGAGUAUGACAACCGGCAGGAGCCAUAGGAGUUGUCUUUAUUUUUUGUAUGACCUGCGUGUCAUUGAAGAACGCCAUGUAAAUUACUUUACUUUAUUGCUAAACGCGUUAGCCAUAGAAGUAGAAGUAGUCGUUGGCGUGACAACUUCAUGAAGACACAAUGAUGGAGAUCAUGAUGAUGGAGAUCAUGGUGUCAUGCCGGUGACGAAGAUGAUCAUGGAGCCCCGAAGAUGGAGAUCGAAGGAGCUAUAUGAUAUUGGCCAUAUCAUGUCACUACUAUAUAAUUGCAUGUGAUGUUUAUUAUGUUUUAUGCAUCUUGUUUACUUAGAAUGGCGGUAGUAAAUAAGAUGAUCCCUUGUAAUAAUUUCAAGAAAGUGUUCCCCCUAACUGUGCACCGUUGCUAAAGUUCGUCGUUUCGAAGCACCACGUGAUGAUCGGGUGUGAUAGAUCCUUACGUUCACAUACAACGGGUGUAAGACAGAUUUACACAUGCAGAACACUUAGGGUUAACUUGACGAGCCUAGCAUGUACAGACAUGGCCUCGGAACACAAGAGACCGAAAGGUCGAACAUGAGUCAUAUAGAAGAUACGAUCAACAUGGAGGUGUUCACCGAUGAUGACUAGUCCGUCUCACGUGAUGAUCGGACACGGCCUAGUCGACUCGGAUCGUGUAACACUUAGAUAACUAGAGGGAUGUCUGAUCUGAGUGGGAGUUCAUUAAAUAAUUUGAUUAGAUGAACUUAAUUAUCAUGAACUUAGUCUAAAACUUUUGCAAAAUAUGUCUUGUAGAUCAAAUGGCCAACGCUCAUGUCAACAUGAACUUCAACGCGUUCCUAGAGAAAACCAAGCUGAAAGAUGAUGGCAGCAACUAUUCGGACUGGGUCCGGAACCUGAGGAUCAUCCUCAUAGCUGCCAGGAAACAAUAUGUCCUAGAAGGACCGCUAGGUGAUGCACCCGUCCCGGAGAAGCAAGACAUUAUGAAUGCUUGGCAGACUCGUGUUGAUGAUUACUCCCUCGUUCAGUGCGGCAUGCUUUACAGCUUAGAACCGGGGCUCCAAAAGCGUUUUGAGCAACACGGAGCAUAUGAGAUGUUCGAGGAGCUGAAACUAGUUUUCCAAGUUCAUGCCCGGGUCGAGAGAUAUGAAGUCUCUGACAAGUUCUAUAGUUGUAAGAUGGAGGAAAAUAGUUCUGUCAGUGAGCAUAUACUCAAAAUGUCUGGGUUGCACAACCGCCUGUCCCAGCUAGACAUUAACCUCCCGGAUGAGGCGGUCAUUGACAGAAUCCUUCAGUCGCUCCCACCAAGCUACAAGAGCUUUGUGAUGAACUACAAUAUGCAGGGGAUGGUGAAGACCAUUCCUGAAGUAUUUUCAAUGCUGAAGUCAGCAGAGGUUGAAAUCAAGAAAGAACAUCAAGUGUUGAUGGUCAAUAAGACCACUAAGUUCAAGAAGGGAAAGGGUAAGAAGUACUUCAAGAAGGACGGCAAAGAUGUUGCCGCGCCCGGUAAGCUAGUUGCCGGGAAGAAGUCAAAGAAUGGACCCAAGCCUGAAACUGAGUGCUUUUAUUGCAAGGGGAAGGGUCACUUGAAGCGGAACUGUCCCAAAUACUUAGCAGACAAGAAGGCCAGCAACACUAAAGGUAUAUUUGAUAUACAUGUAAUUGAUGUGUACCUCACCAGUACUCGUAGUAACUCCUGGGUAUUUGAUACCGGUGUCGUUGCUCACAUUUGUAACUCAUAGCAGGAGCUGCGGAAUAAGCGGAGACUGGCAAAGGACGAGGUGACGAUGCGCGUCGGGAAUGGUCCCAAGGUCGAUGCGAUCGCCGUCGGCAUGCUACCUCUACAUUUACCUACGGGAUUAGUUUUAAACCUCAAUAAUUGUUAUUUAGUUCCAAGUUUGAGCAUGAACAUUGUAUCUGGAUCUCGUUUGAUACGAGAUGGCUACUCAUUUAAAUCCGAGAAUAAUGGUUGUUCUAUUUAUAUGAGAGAUAUGUUUUAUUGUCAUGCCCCAAUGGUCAAUGGUUUAUUCUUAAUGAAUCUCGAACGUAAUGUUACACAUAUUCAUAGUGUGAAUACCAAAAGAUGUAAAGUUGAUAACGAUAGUCCCACAUACUUGUGGCACUGCCGCCUUGGUCACAUUGGUGUCAAGCGCAUGAAGAAGCUCCAUGCUGAUGGACUUUUAGAGUCUCUCGAUUAUGAAUCAUUUGACACAUGCGAACCAUGCCUCAUGGGCAAAAUGACCAAGACCCCGUUCUCCGGAACAAUGAAGUGAGCAACCAACUUGUUGGAAAUCAUACAUAUCGAUGUGUGCGGUCCAAUGAGCGUUGAGGCUCGCAGAGGAUAUCGUUAUGUUCUCACUCUCACUAAUGACUUGAGUAGAUAUGGGUAUGUCUACUUGAUGAAACACAAGUCUGAGACCUUUGAAAAGUUCAAGGAAUUUCAGAAUGAAGCAGAGAAUCAACGUGAUCGAAAGAUAAAAUUCUUACGAUCGGAUCGUGGAGGAGAAUAUUUAAGUCACGAGUUUGGUACACACUUAAGAAAAUGUGGAAUCAUUUCACAACUCACGCCGCCUGGAACACCUCAGCGUAACAGUGUGUCCGAACGUCAUAAUCGCACUCUACUGGAUAUGGUGCGAUCUAUGAUGUCUCUUACCGAUUUACCGCUAUCAUUUUGGGGAUACGCUCUAGAGACAGCUACAUUCACUUUAAAUAGGGCACCGUCUAAAUCCGUUGAGACGACACCAUAUGAAUUAUGGUUUGGGAAGAAACCUAAGCUGUUGUUUCUAAAAGUUUGGGGAUGCGAUGCUUAUGUCAAGAAACUUCAACCUGAAAAGCUUGAACCCAAGUCGGAAAAAUGCGUCUUCAUAGGAUACCCUAAAGAAACUAUUGGGUAUACCUUCUACUUAAGAUCCGAAGGCAAGAUCUUUGUUGCCAAGAACGGAUCCUUUCUGGAAAAAGAGUUUCUCUCGAAAGAAGUAAGUGGGAGGAAAGUAGAACUCAAUGAAGUACUACCUCUUGAACAGGAUAGUAGUGCAGCUCAGGAAAAUGUUCCUGUGAUGCCUACACCAACUGAAGAGGAAAACAAUGAUGAUGAUCAAGGUACUUCGGAUCAAGUUGCUACUGAACUUCGUAGGUCCACAAGGACACGUUCCGCACCAGAGUGGUACGGCAACCCUGUCCUGGAAAUCAUGUUGUUGGACAACGGUGAACCUUCGAACUAUGAAGAAGCAAUGGCGGGCCCAGAUUCCAACAAAUGGCUAGAAGCCAUGAAAUCCGAGAUAGAAUCCAUGUAUGAAAACAAAGUAUGGACUUUGACUGACUUGCCCGAUGAUCGGCGAGCGAUAGAAAACAAAUGGAUCUUUAAGAAGAAGACGGACGCGGAUGGUAAUAUCACCAUCUAUAAAGCUCGACUUGUCGCUAAGGGUUAUCGGCAAGUUCAAGGGAUUGACUAUGAUGAGACUUUCUCUCCCAUAGCGAAGCUUAAGUCCGUCCGAAUCAUGUUAGCAAUUGCCGCAUACUAUGAUUAUGAGAUAUGGCAGAUGGACGUCAAAACGGCAUUCCUUAACGGGCAUCUUAAGGAAGAACUGUAUAUGAUGUAGCCGGAGGGUUUUGUCGAUCCUAAGAAUGCUAACAAAGUAUGCAAGCUCCAGCGAUCCAUUUAUGGGCUGGUGCAAGCAUCUCGGAGUUGGAACAUUCGCUUUGAUGAGAUGAUCAAAGCAUUUGGGUUUACGCAGACUUAUGGAGAAGCCUGCGUUUACAAGAAAGUGAGUGGGAGCUCUGUAGCAUUUCUCAUAUUAUAUGUAGAUGACAUAUUUUUGAUGGGAAAUGAUAUAGAAUUCUUGGACAACAUUAAGGCCUACUUGAAUAAGUGUUUUUCAAUGAAGGACCUUGGAGAAGCUGCUUAUAUAUUAGGCAUCAAGAUCUAUAGAGAUAGAUCGAGACGCCUCAUAGGUCUUUCACAAAGCACAUACCUUGAUAAGAUUUUGAAGAAGUUCAAAAUGGAUCAGUCCAAGAAGGGGUUCUUGCCUGUAUUGCAAGGUGUGAGAUUGAGCUCGGCUCAAUGCCCGACCACGGCAAAAGAUAAAGAAGAGAUGAGUGUCAUCCCCUAUGCUUCAGCCAUAGGAUCUAUUAUGUAUGCCAUCUUGUGUACCAGACCUGAUGUAAACCUUGCCGUAAGUUUGGUAGGAAGGUACCAAAGUAAUCUCGGCAAGGAACACUGGAUAGCGGUCAAGAAUGUCCUAAAGUACCUGAAAAGGACGAAGGACAUGUUUCUCGUUUAUGGAGGUGAUGAAGAGCUCGUCGUAAAGGGUUACGUCGACGCUAGCUUCGACACAGAUCUGGAUGACUCUAAGUCACAAACCGGAUACGUGUAUAUGUUGAAUGGUGGAGUAGUAAGUUGGUGCAGCUGCAAGCAGAGCGUCGUGGAGGGAUCUACAUGUGAAGCGGAGUACAUGGCAGCCUCGGAGGCAGCGCAUGAAGCAAUUUGGGUUAAGGAGUUCAUCACCGACCUAGGAGUCAUACCCAAUGCGUCAGGGCCGAUCAAACUCUUCUGUGACAACACUGGAGCUAUUGCCCUUGCUAAGGAGCCCAGGUUUCACAAGAAGACCAGGCACAUCAAGCGUCGUUUCAACUCCAUCCGUGAAAAUGUUCAAGAUGGAGACAUAGAUAUUUGCAAAGUACAAACAGAUCUGAAUGUCGCAGAUCCGUUGACUAAACCUCUCUCGCGAGCAAAACAUGAUCAACACCAGAAAUCUAUGGGUGUUCGAUUCAUCACAAUGUAACUAGAUUAUUGACUCUAGUGCAAGUGGGAGACUGUUGGAAAUAUGCCCUAGAGGCAAUAAUAAAAGGGUUAUUAUUAUAUUUCCUUGUUCAUGAUAAUUGUCUUUUAUUCAUGCUAUAACUGUAUUAUCCGGAAAUCGUAAUACACCUGUGAAUACAUAGACCAUAACAUGUCCCUAGUGAGCCUCUAGUUGACUAGCUCGUUGGUCAACAGAUAGUCAUGGUUUCCUGACUAUGGACAUUAGAUGUCAUUGACAACGGGAUCACAUCAUUAGGAGAAUGAUGUGAUGGACAAGACCCAAUCCUAAGCAUAGCACAAGAUCGUGUAGUUCGUUUUGCUAGAGCUUUUUCAAUGUCAAGUAUCUCUUCCUUAGACCAUGAGAUCGUGUAACUCCCGGAUACCGUAAGAGUGCUUUGGGUGUACCAAACGUCACAACGUAACUGGGUGACUAUAAAGGUGCACUACAGGUAUCUCCAAAAGUGUCUGUUGGGUUGACACGGAUCGAGACUGGGAUUUGUCACUCCGUAUGACGAAGAGGUAUCUCUGGGCCCACUCGGUAAUGCAUCAUCAUAAUGAGCUCAAAGUGACCAAGUGUUUGGUCACGGGAUCAUGCAUUACAGUACGAGUAAAGUGACUUGCCGGUAACGAGACUGAACGAGGUAUUGGGAUACCGACGAUCGAGUCUCGGGCAUGUAACGUACCGAUUGACGAAGGGAAUUGUAUACGGGGUUGUUCGAAUCCUCGACAUCGUGGUUCAUCCGAUGAGAUCAUCGAGGAGCAUGUGGGAACCAACAUCCAGAUCCCGCUGUUGGUUAUUGCCCGAGAGCCGUCUCGGUCAUGUCUACGUGUCUCCCGAACCCGUAGGCUCUACACACUUAAGGUUCGGUGACGCUAGGGUUGUAUGAAUAUGAGUAUGCAGCAUACCGAAUGUUGUUCGGUGUCCCGGAUGAGAUCCCGGACGUCAUGAGGAGUUCCGGAAUGGUCCGAGGUGAAGAAUUAUAUAUAGGAAGUGAUAUUUCGGCCAUCGGGAAAGUUUCGGGGUCACCCGGUAUUGUACCGGGACCACCGGAAGGGUCACGGGGGUCCACCGGGUGGGGCCACCCAUCCCAGAGGGCCCCAAGGGCCGAAGUGGGGAGGGGAACCAGCCCUUAGUGGGCUGGUGCGCCCCCCUAGGCCCACCCCCUACGCCUAGGGUUGAAACCCUAGGGUGGGGGGGGCGCCCCACUUGCCUUGGGGGGUACUCCACCCCCCUUGGCCGCCGCCCCCUUGGGAGAUUUGAUCUCCCAGGGCUGGCGCCCCCCUGGGGGCCUAUAUAAAGGGAGGGGGGAGGGGGGCAGCCGCACCCUGAAGUCCUGGCGCCCCCCCCCCCUGCUACACCUCUUCCUCCUCCGUCACGUGCUUGGCGAAGCCCUGCCGGAGUGCUGCUGUUCCACCACCACGCCGUUGUGCUGCUGCUGGAGCCAUCAUCAUCAACCUCUCCUUCCCCCUUGCUGGAUCAAGACGGAGGAGACGUUACGCUGACCGUACGUGUGUUGAACGCGGAGGUGCCGUCCGUUCAGCGCUAGGAUCUCCGGUGAUAGGAUCACGAGGAGAACGACUACUUCAACCCCGUUCUUUUGAACGCUUCCGCGCGAUCUACAAAGUGGUAUGUAGAUGCAAUCUCUCUCCCAUGACUCGUUGCUUAGAUGAACUCAUAGAUGGAUCUUGGUGAAACCACAGGAAAAAUUUUAAUUUUCUGCAACGUUCCCCAACAUGUGAUUCCCUUGUAAAGAGAAACAACAUUGUGCCAUGCUACCUUGGCCAGGGUGGACAGACAGAGUUGUGCAAUGUCUUCGGAUGGAAUUGCGUCUUGGAUGAUGAAGAGGGCAUUCUCAUUGAAUUGAUGAUCCGCGGCUUCUCUCGGGGUAAAGUUGCUUGGGUCAUGCGGAUAGAAACCUUGCUCAAUAAUUCUCCAAGAUUAGUAUUAACAUGGUUUAAAUGACCUUUAAAGCGAUAGACCCAAGAGUCAAAAUCCUCAUUCUUCACAAUCUUAGGAGGAGAACCCACAUGAUUUAAAUGUGUGUAGGGAACUAGUCCUCCAUAAGUAAGAGGAGGUUCAACAUGGGCAAAGAUUCCGCUACCAUUUCUAUCACUAGAUAAAGGAACUUUAUCACUAGAAGCUUCCCCCCUUAUUGGAGUUGGCAUCCGCCACCUUGUUAGUGGGAGCGGCCACUUCCAAGGGUGUGGUGGAUAAUUUAAGACCAUCAAGGAACUCUUUGAACAUGCCUUUCACCUCAGUCGUCAUGGACGUUUUCAAUGUGUCCAAAACCACAUUGAAUUCCUCGCGUGAGACCGGGGAUCCCCCAUCGGCCGUAGACGAAGAAGGAUUCACACCGGGGUACUCCUCACUGUAUAUGGUGUCAACCAUACUCUUAGGACGGUAAAGCCCUUAAUUAAGAGAUGAGGCUCUGAUACCAAUUGAAAGGAUCGAUAUAGUUGACUAGAGGGGGGUGAAUAGGCAACUAAUAGUUUUUAGCUUUUCUUUACUAAACUUUGCAUCAAGGUAGGUUGUCUAGAUAUGCAACUAGGUGAGCAACCUAUAUGAUGCAACAACAAUAAGCACACAAGCAAGCAAAGGAUAUAACACAAUAAAGCUUGCACAAGUAAAGGUGAGAGAUAACCAAAAGCGGAACCGAUGGAGAUGAGGAAGUGUUACCGAAGUCCCUUCCCUUUGAGGGGAAGUACGUCUCCGUUGGAGCGGUGUGGAGGCAUAAUGCUCCCCAAGAAGCCACUAGGGCCACCGUAUUCUCCUCACGCCCUCACACAAUGCGAGAAGUCGUGAUUCCACUAUUGGUGCCCUUAGAGGCAGUGACCGAACCUUUAAAAAAGGUUGGGGCAAUCUCCACAACUGAAUUGGAGGCCCCCAAUGACACCACAAAGCUUCACCACAAUGGACUAUGGCUCCGCGGUGACCUCAAUCGUCUAUGGUGAUCAAACACCCAAGAGUAACAAGAUAUGCAAGGGAUUAGUGGGGAGGGAAUCAAAUUUCUCUUGGUGGAAGUGUAGAUCGAGGUCUUCUUAACCAAUCCCUAGAGAAUCAACAAGUUUGAUUGGCUAGGGAGGGAGAUCAGGCGAAAAUGGAGCUUAGAGCAUCAAUGGAGCUUAGAGGUGGAAGAGGUAGUCAACUCAGAGAAUAAGACUCCCCUUUUAUAGUCAAGGGACAAAUCCAACCGUUAUCCACCAACUCAUCCUGCGACACGCGGUACUACCGCAAGGGCCUGCGGUACUACCACGGAGAACUGCGGUACUACCGCUGGCACGACAGGGGCCAAGACCAGUCCUGAUGUGCUAAGGCAGGGAGCGGUAGAACCGCUGGCGCGAUACUACCGCGCCCCCUUGCGGUACUACCGCAAGGCAGGAAUAGUCUAGGCUGAGAAGGCACAGACUUAUAAAAAUACAUCUGUCACUUCUCCCAUUGAGUUUUGAUCUAUGCAAAAAUCCGACACGGUACUACCGCAAGCCUGGAUCGAUACUACCAUGUAGGGCGUGGAUGUAAAAAAUUACAUCCGCCCCUACUUCCGCUCAUGCUAUUGUGCCUGGCCAAAGCUCACGGUACUACCGCGCCCAUGGAGCGGUACUACCGCGUAGGGUGCGGAUGUAAAAAAUUACAUCCGCCCCUACUACCGCUCGAGCAGCUGCGCCUGGCCUGAGGCCACGGUACUAUCACUCCCAAGGAGCGGUACUACCAUGAGCACCUAUGGUACUACCGCGCUAGUGGCCAGUACUACCGCAAGGGCCUGCGGUACUACCGCUCCGGAGAGCAGUACUAUCGCCUACCUCAGUUCAGUAACACUAGGAGUCCUUCAUUUUGCAGAGACACGGAGAGACGGAGGAUGCUCCAAAGAUCCAAAGGAAAGGUGGUGCAAAAAGGAACAGACGUGAACGUGUUGAUUCCACCCAAACCUUUCCAACGCGGACCCCCUCUUAAUAGUACGGCUUUCCUACGACUCAAAUCCACUGAAAAGAAACAUAGAGAAACGCCGUCUUCAAUAGUAUUCGAGGGGCACCAAAUCGUCUUGUGCUUAGACAUGAUAUAUCUGAAAUGCUCAUAUGCACACGAUUAGUCCGCAAAAGCAUUGUCAUCAAUCACCAAAACUACUAAGAGAUAAAUAUGCCCUUACAACCUUGCAUCUUUUGGCUUCAAUACUAUGAAUAUGUGUAUCAUCACUAUCGAGAUUCAACAAAAAUAGACCACUUAACAAGGGUGCAUGACUAUAAAAGAUAUUACUCAUAUAAAUAGAACAACCAUUAUUCUCUGAUUCAAAUGAAUAACAGUCUCGCAUCAAAUAAGAUCCAGAUAUGAUGUUCAUGCUCAACGCUGGCACCAAAUAAAAAUUAUUCAGGUCUAAAACUAAUCCCGAUUCCCGAAGGUAGAUGUAGAGGUAGCGUGCCGACUGCGAUCACAUCGACUUUGGAACCAUUUCCCACGUGCAUCGUCACCUCGUCCUUAGCCAAUCUUCUCUUAAUCCGUAGCCCCUAUUUCGAGUUGAAAAUAUGAGCAACAGAACCAGUAUCAAAUACACAAGCGCUACUGCGAGCAUUAGUUAAGUACACAUCAAUAACAUGUAUAUCAAAUAUACCUUUCACUUUGCCAUCCUUCUUACCCGCCAAAAACUUGGGGUAGUUUCACUUCCAGUGACCAGUCCCUUUGAAGUAGAAGCACUCAGUUUCAGGCUUAGGUCCAGACUUGGGUUUCUUCUCUUGAGCAGCAACCUUUUUGCCGUUCUUCUUGAAGUUCCCCUUCUUUCCUUUGCCCUUUUUCUUGAAACUAGUGGUCUUGUUGACCAUCAACACUUGAUGCUCCUUUUUCAUUUUUACCUCCGCAGCCUUGUUCAUCCCUUGCAUAUUAUAGUUCAUCAUGAAGCCUUUAUAGCUUGGUGGCAGUGAUUGAAGAACUCUGUUAAUGACACUAUCAUCAGGAAGAUUAACUCCCAGUUGAGUCAAGUGGUUAUGGUACCCAAACAUUCUGAGUAUGUGUUCACUGACAGAAUUAUUCUCCUCCAUUUUGCAGCUGUAGAACUUGUUGGAGACUUCAUAUCUCUCAACUCGGGAAUUUGCUUGAAAUAUUAACUUCAACUCUUCGAACAUCUCAUAUGCUCCAUGACGUUCAAAAUGUCUUUGAAGUCCCGAUUCUAAGUUGUAAAGCAUGGCACACUAAACUAUCGAGUAGUCAUCAACACGCGCAUGUCAGGCAUUCACAAUGUCUGCAGUUGUGGGCGCGGGUGGUACACCUAACCGUGCUUCCAGGACAUAAUUCUUCUGUGCGGCAAUGAGGAUAAUCCUCAAGUUACGGACCCGGUCCGUGUAGUUGCUGCCAUCAUCUUUCAACUUAGCUUUCUCUAGGAACGCAUUAAAAUUCAAAGGAACGGUAGCAGAGGCCAUUGAUCUACAACAACAUAGUCAUGCAAAAUACUAUCAGGUACUAAGUUCAUGAUAAAUUAAAGUUCAGUUAAUCAUAUUACUUAAGAACUCCCACUUAGAUAGACAUCCCUCUGAUCAUCUAAGUGAUCACGUGAUCCAAAUCAACUAAACCAUGUUCGGUCAACACGUGAGAUGGAGUAGUUUUCAAUGGUGAAAAUCACUAUGUUGAUCAUAUCUACUAUAUGAUUCACGCUCGACCUUUCGGUCUCAGUGUUCCGAGGCCAUAUCUACAUAUGCUAGGUUCGUCAAGUUUAACCCGAGUAUUCUAUGUGUGCAAAACUGGCUUGCACCCGUUGUAUGUGAACGUAGAGCUUAUCAAACCUGAUCAUCACGUGGUGUCUCGGCACGACAAACUGUAGCAACGGUGCAUACUCAGGGAGAACACUUGUACCUUGAAAUUUAGUAAGGGAUCAUCUUAUAAUGCUACCGUCGUACUAAGCAAAAUAAGAUGCAUAAAAGAUAAACAUCACAUGCAAUCAAAAUAUGUGACAUGAUAUGGCCAUCAUCAUCUUGUGCUCAUGAUCUCCAUCACCGAAGCAUCGUCAUGAUCUCCAUCGUCACCGGCGCGACACCUUGAUUUCCAUUGUAUCAUCAUUGUCGUCUUGCCAACUAUUGUUACCACGACUAUCGCUAUCGUUUAGUGAUAAAGUAAAACAAUUGCAUGGCAAUUGCAUUGCAUACAAUAAAGCGACAACCAUAUGGCUCCUGCCAGUUGCUAAUAACUUUUUUCUAAAACAUGAUCAUCUCAUACAACAAUUUAUAUCACAUCAUGCCUUGACCAUAUCACAUCACAGCAAGCCCUGCAAAAACAAGUUAGACGUACUCUACUUUGUUGUUGCAAGUUUCACAUGGCUGCUACGGGCUUCUAGCAAGAACCGUUCUUACCUACGCAUCAAAACCACAACGAUUUUUUGUCAAGUGUGCUGUUUUAACCUUCAACAAGGGCCGGGCGUAUCCAACCUCGGUUCAAGUAAAGUUGGAGAAACAGACACUCACUAGCCACCUGUGUGCGAAGCACGUCGGUAGAACCAGUCUCGUGUAAGCGUACGCGUAAUGUCGGUCUGAGCCGCUUCAUCCAACAAUACCGCCGAAUCAAAGUAUGACAUGCUAGUAAGCAGUAUGACUAUUAUCGCCCACAACUCUUUGUGUUCUACUCGUGCAUCUAACAUCUACGCAUAGACCUGACUCGGAUGCCUCUGUUGGGGAACGCAGUAAUUUCAAAAAAAAUCCUACGAACACGCAAGAUCUAUCUAGGUGAUGCAUAGCAACGAGAGGGGAUAGUGUUGUCUGCAUACCCUCGUAGACCGAAAGUGGAAGCGUUAUGACAACGCGAUUGAUGUAGUCGUACGUCUUCAUGAUCCGACCGAUCCUAGCACCGAAGAUACGGCACCUCUGCGAUCUGCACACGUUCAGCUCGGUGACGACCCACGAACUCUAGAUCCAGCUGAGGUCGAGGAAGAGUUUCAUCAGCACGAUGGCGUGGUGACGGUGAUUAUGAAGUUACCGGCGCAGGGCUUCGCCUAAGCACUACGACUAUAUGACCGAGGUGGAAAUCUGUGGAGGGGGGCACCGCACACGGCUAAAAGAUCAACUUGAUCAACUAGUGUGUCUAUAGGGUGCCCCCAUCCCCCGUAUAUAAAGGAGUGGAGGAGGGGAGGGCCGGCCCUCUUUGGCGUACCCAAGGGGGGGAGUCCUACUCCCAGUAGGAGUAGGUUUCCCCCCUUCCCUAGUUGGAGUAGGAGAAGAAGGAAGAGGGAGAGGGAGAGAAGGAAAGGAGGGCCGGCCCCCUUCCCAAUUCGGAUUGGGCUUGGAGGAGGGGGGCGCUCCCACCUUGGUCGCCUCCUCCUCUCUUCCACCAUGGCCCAUUAAGGCCCAUUAACUCCCCGGGGGGUUCCGGUAACCUCCCGAUACUCCGAAAAAAUGCCCGAACCACCCGGAACCUUUCUGGUGUCCAAACAUAGCCUUCCAAUAUAUCAAUCUUUAUGUAUCGACCAUUUCGAGACUCCUCGUCAUGUCCGUGAUCACAUCUGGGACUCUGAGCAACCUACAGUACAUCAUAUCACAUAAACUCAUAAUACCAAUCGUCAUCGAACGUUAAGCGUGCGGACCCUACGGGUUCGAGAACUAUGUAGACAUGACCGAGACACAUCUCCGACCAAUAACCAAUAGCGGAACCUGGAUGCUCAUGUUGGUUCCUACAUAUUCUACGAAGAUCUUUAUCGAUCAAACUGCAUAACAACAUAUGUUGUUCCCUUUGUCGUCGGUAUGUUACUUGCCCGAGAUUCGAUCACCGGUAUCAUCAUACCUAGUUCAAUCUCGCUACUGGCAAGUCUCUAUACUCAUUAUGUAAUACUACAUCUCGCAACUAACUCAUUAGUUACAAUGCUUGCAAGGUUUAUAGUGAUGAGUAUUACCGAGAGGGCCCAGAGAUACAUCUCUGAAACACGGAGUGACAAAUCAUAAUCUCGAUCUAUGCCAACCCAACAAACACCUUCGGAGACACCUGUAGAGCACCUUUAUAAUCACCCAUUUAUAUUGUGACGUCUGGUAGCACACAAAGUGUUCCUCCGGUAUUCGGGAGUUGCAUAAUCUCAUAGUCUGAGAAACUUGUAUAAGUCAUGAAGAAAGCAGUAGCAAUAAAACUGACACGAUCAUAAUGCUAAGCUAACGGAUGGGUCAUGUCCAUCACAUCAUUCUCCUAAUGAUGUGAUCCCGUUCAUCAAAUGACAACACAUGUAUAUGGUUAGGAAACAUAACCAUCUUUUGAUUAACGAGCUAGUCAAGUAGAGGCAUACUAGGGACUAUGUGUUUUGUCUAUGUAUUCACACAUGUACUAAGUUUCCGGUUAAUACAAUUCUAGCAUGAAUAAUAAACAUUUAUCAUGAAAUAAGGAAAUGAAUAAUAACUUUAUUAUUGCCUCUAGGGCAUAUCCUUCAUAUAAGAGUUCCCGAACUCAACAUCUUCGCUCUUUCUUAACUGUCUACCUGAAACUUGAAGGAAUUUCACCAUUGCCCUAAGUCAAAUUGGCAGUUGUCUUAACCUAUUUUCCAGAUAAUAUUUUACAUGCCCAUAGCUAUAACACUUUGCCCCCUUUUGCCCUUGCUAUCCACAUUUUCCAUGUGCACCUAACAUCAUAGAAUAUAUGACCAUGUGCUCUUCAAGCUUUUCACAAUUUAGACUUUCCAUCACUUUCUUAGAUUCUCCAUGGUCAACUCUCGUCCAUCUCCCGGUACCGAUAAACCUAGUCAACAGCUUGAAUUUGGUACUCGCCAACACUGCAUCAGCACCCUCCGCACACUUUUUCUGACCAUCAGUGCCUUGGUCUAUUACCGUGUCCCAUGCUUAUCGCUCACCCCAUCGCUAUUACCGUGUUGAGCCUCUACUGUCCCGGCUAAGUCUCCAGGGCCGCGAACCAAUACCACUCAACCCUCAGUACGAGAGAACCAUCGAUCAUUAUCGACCGAUGCAAAGUUUCACAUUUCCAUCAGACCACUAGGCCCUAUCGAAACUACAUGUCAUUCGCUUUAUCUGGUGAAAUAGGCUUCGACUCGUCGAGCUCUUACGUCGUAGCUCCUCCAUCAGCACCGAGUGAAAUCUUCUGUUAGACUCCAACUCCACCUUCAACAUGACUCCAUGGUAGAUGACCAGCCCACCCACGGGCCCCCGUCGACUACAAGCUCCCAUGUAGACCAUCUUGAAUCAACCCUGUGCCAUAGUCUUGUUAAAGCACACAAGUCCUCGGGCAUGUGGCACGUGUUUCCAUGCCUCAAAAGUCGGUCACCAUCGACAUCACACUCAUAUGUCAUUGUCGUUGAAAUCAUUGCCAUCUUCUAUUCUGUCCAACCUUGCAUCGAUUCGUAAGAAUGUCUAGUCCAGCCCAAUAGAAAUUGUCCGACAAGCAAACUCCACCUCACGCCGUAUCAGCAUACCACAUCAACAUACAUUGCUCGACGACAUGUACAGUAUGAUCCUCCACAACACGUUACAGGCUCCUCCAAACCUUAAAUGUGCAUCACCAUCCUCUCUAUAUGUGCUCCAAGCCCCUUUGCAAAUCGGAACAAAAGAAAAGAAAACCAUCUGUACGGAUGCGGCAAUUUGGCUCCAGGGGUCAGAUGAGCGCGGGCAUAAACAGUAAAAUUGCUAAAAAUAGUAAAAAAAAACUGAAAAUUUUGCAAGCAAGAUGCUCAAAUGCGUGAUCUCCAUGAAAUUGAUAAAGUUUGGACAUUCGAGGAGAUCUUAGCAAAAAAGAUAAAUUUCGGGUGUCUGAGAAACUUUUAAAAAUCACAUUGUUUAAGCCCAAUUUUGUCUUUUUGCCCUGAGCUCUACAAAUGUCCAAACUUUCAAAAAAAACACGGGUUUCACGCAUAGGAGCGUCUUGCACCACAAAAAAAAUUUGGAUUUUUUUAUUAUUCUUUACAUUUUAUUUCUCAUAGGGUGCAUAUGAGGUCGGGUUCCGGAUAGAAUUGCCGUGCAUGUACACAAUUUCUUCUUGUCCAUCAGUUGCGCCAGCUUCACGUACAUCCAUGUAUCUUUUUCCCGAAUUCCCUAUACAACGCUCACUGCAAUGUAAUGUGGCUAAAACACACACGGAGGCGCGAGCGAGUGACUGAGUGGGCCUGCCCAUUUUCUUAGCAUAGUGUUUAUUUGUACAGUUUUUGUACCGGUUUUUGGGACCAUUCUAGAAGGUUUCUGAACCUUCUUUUCUUUUCGUUUCUUUUACUAGUUUUCUGAAUAUUCUUUCUUUUCUCUUUCGUUGUUUCUGGAUUUUUUUCAUAAAUUAAUAUUUAAAAAAUGUUUGGAAUUUCAUUUUCCCUUUUUUAUUUCAUAAAUCUCAAAAAAUGUUCCCGUUAAAAAAACAGUUUUUCAAAAAAAUGUUCAUGGUCAUUAAUUUUUUGUUUAUGUUUUUUCUAUUCAACAUUUUCAAAAAAUGUUCAAAAUUAAAAAAACACAAAUUUAAAACAUUUUUCACAUUUUAAGAAAAGUUGCACUUAAAAUAUGCUUGAUCUACCACCAAAGAUAAUUCUUUAGAGUUUCACGGUGCUUACCAAUCAUAAAUACCAUCAUCUCCGGUGGCUGGCAACAGGAAUUAGGUAGUGAGAGGUCACGAGUUUACCCCUUGUGAUGGACCUUCAAGGGUCACUUUUGGUGGCCUAGAGCAGUGGCGGAGCUUAGUGGAGACCAACAGGGGCCAUGCCCCCCCCCCCUUAUUUUUUGCAUCCAUUGAAGAACAAGCUACAUCAUGAGCCUAAUUAGUGUUUAAACUACAAAUUAGCCCCUCCUUCCCUAUUAACUUGGUUCCUUUUGACUAAUGGCCCCCUCUUGAAUUAUUCUCAAGCUCCGCCACUGGCCUAGAGCACCCAAAGUGGUGCCUCCAGCCGUUACCACAUGUCAUGUGCUUGACGCUGCCUUUGGAUUUAUUUUUUAUUUUUCUGUAUGCGUUUCUGGUUUUUUGAUGGAUUUUUUUUACUUUUCUAUUUUCGCAUGGUUUUCCCUAGGUCUCGGAGAAAUGUAUUUUUUUCGUGGAAAAAAUAAGCUUAUCGUGGAGGCAUAUAUUUACUUCGAUGAACUGCGGUAAGCAUGGCGCAAUGGUGCUUCUUGUGCAAUCACAUAUUUUUUUUCCUUUCGGAAAUGAUAAAAAGUGAAAAACACGCAAUGGUGCUUCCUGCUCCGGGUUUUUCUUUGUCAUUCGAUUUUUACAGUUGCCUUUUUAUAUCNNNNNNNNNNNNNNNNNNNNNNNNNNNNNNNNNNNNNNNNNNNNNNNNNNNNNNNNNNNNNNNNNNNNNNNNNNNNNNNNNNNNNNNNNNNNNNNNNNNNNNNNNNNNNNNNNNNNNNNNNNNNNNNNNNNNNNNNNNNNNNNNNNNNNNNNNNNNNNNNNNNNNNNNNNNNNNNNNNNNNNNNNNNNNNNNNNNNNNNNNNNNNNNNNNNNNNNNNNNNNNNNNNNNNNNNNNNNNNNNNNNNNNNNNNNNNNNNNNNNNNNNNNNNNNNNNNNNNNNNNNNNNNNNNNNNNNNNNNNNNNNNNNNNNNNNNNNNNNNNNNNNNNNNNNNNNNNNNNNNNNNNNNNNNNNNNNNNNNNNNNNNNNNNNNNNUGCAGAAAAGUACGAUAUUUAGACGCACGGUUUAAGAUAAAACAUUUUGGAUAAAUGAAUCUAUGAAAAAGAAAAAAAUCCCAGUUGUGACAAGUGGUGCACAUGCAGUGCGCUACUUGUCAGCACCUGAGAAGGUGGGAGCGACCUUUGCCAGGGGUAAGUAAGUGAUUUCGGCAAUAUAGCAUCGCACGCUUGGCUACCAAUGGGCCGACCCAGUCGGGUUGUUGUCCCCAAAUGCGGUGCACGACAAUCGGAUGGAACGCGUGGGCGCGCUUAUGUCUCGCUUAUAGCAAGACAUAUGGCUGUCACGCGUGAAGAAGGCGCCAGAUUGGGCCGGCCCAGCACGCGGGAGGCCACAUGCCGUAAAAGCACUGGCUUUCACUAUUUUUUCAUUUUUAUUUCUUUAUUUAAUUUUAAUAUACUUCCAAAUAUUCUAAAUAUAUAUAUUUCAAAAAUCACUUUACAUAAUUGUUUUCUAAAAUGUUAAUCAUGCUUUAGGAAAAUGUUAGAUGAGUAUAGAGAAAUAUUGUUGAUGUAUAAAAAAAUGUAUAAUGUGUAUGAAGAAAAGUAAACGUAAAAAUAUAAGUGUUCAAAAAUAUUAUUCAUAUGUUUGGAAAUGGUUAAACAUGUAUAUAAAAUAUUUUUGAUGUACACAAAAAUAUAUGUUGUGUACGGAAAUAGUAGAUACCAAAAUGUAUAUUUUNNNNNNNNNNNNNNNNNNNNNNNNNNNNNNNNNNNNNNNNNNNNNNNNNNNNNNNNNNNNNNNNNNNNNNNNNNNNNNNNNNNNNNNNNNNNNNNNNNNNNNNNNNNNNNNNNNNNNNNNNNNNNNNNNNNNNNNNNNNNNNNNNNNNNNNNNNNNNNNNNNNNNNNNNNNNNNNNNNNNNNNNNNNNNNNNNNNNNNNNNNNNNNNNNNNNNNNNNNNNNNNNNNNNNNNNNNNNNNNNNNNNNNNNNNNNNNNNNNNNNNNNNNNNNNNNNNNNNNNNNNNNNNNNNNNNNNNNNNNNNNNNNNNNNNNNNNNNNNNNNNNNNNNNNNNNNNNNNNNNNNNNNNNNNNNNNNNNNNNNNNNNNNNNNNNNNNNNNNNNNNNNNNNNNNNNNNNNNNNNNNNNNNNNNNNNNNNNNNNNNNNNNNNNNNNNNNNNNNNNNNNNNNNNNNNNNNNNNNNNNNNNNNNNNNNNNNNNNCUGAAGAAAAAUGAGAAAGAAAAGAAGAACUGUUAAAAACAAGAAAGAGACAAAAAAUCAAAUAAAACAAAGGGAAAAAAAAGAAAACCAAGUAUAACAAAGAAAAAAGAAAUGCCGAUGAAAGACGGUGAAGAAAUAAGAAGAUCAAACAAGCAUCCCGUCGUCUGGAGGCUGCAGUAUGGAGCAUCAGAGUUCGUUGCUCCUUGGAAAAGGAUUGAUGCAUGAAUUACCAGCUUGAUUCCACGGAUAUGCUCAAAUCAUCGCUUCCUGAGUUGAAGGUCGACGGUAGUAUCACCGCCCCAACCUGAGCCUGCAAGAUGAUGACAUUGUUUAGUUCCUCACAAAAAUUGACUACCAUGCCAGCGAUCAUACGACAUUGGUGCUUGCUGUUGACAUGGAGUAUUUAACAAAAAACUAUCACAUUUCACGGAAACGUGUCGAAAAACUACCACUUUACGAUUUUGUGCGAAAAACUAUCACUUUUUUCCUAAUCCGUGGCAAAAAACUACCAAGUCGCGAAAUCGCUCGCUUCGCCCACGCUAAGCACAAAUCUGACCGCUUGGGCCCACGAACCUGGUGCCACCGUGGCCAUCCUUCGCGCCGGAGUUCACGGAAGCUUCCCCGCUCUCCGGUCACCGCCAGCACACCAUGUUCCCGCUCGCCGCCGCAAGGGCCUGCCUUUCCUCCCCGGCGCCGCCGCCGAGACCCCAAACCCGAGCGGCGCCUCUCUUCCCCCUUCACCGUCGCCGCUCCACCACCACGCAGCCCAGACCCGCCAGGAUCCCCCUCCUCCGCCCGCUCGGGGCCGCAGCGGGCGCCGGCGCGCCGGGAGCGUCCUCACGGCCCGUGAGGGACCGCGUGAUCAACUUCGGCAGGCACAAGGGCUAGAUGAUGGGCACGCUGCCGCCGUCCUACCUGCGCUGGGUGGUCGCGGAGCUCGAGUGCGGGGACACACUAGUCUGGGCGCGCCUGGCACACGAGGUGCUCGACGACCCCAUCUACGUCGACCGUGUCGAGUGGGAGCACGCGCACCGCUUUCUCCGCGGCGACUCCAAGUUUGACUACGUCUACGAUGACGACGACGGCGACGAGCCCCUCCAGGAGAUGACCGAGCGCUUCGGCUGGGAUCUCUCCAACGAGGACGGCUGGGGCCGCCUCGACUUCCGCCUCCUCGGCACCUCCUAUGGCGGACGCAUCCCGAGGAAGGCCGACCAGCGUCAGAGCACCGGCAGCAACAAACCCCCCGCGGCGGUGGCGCCCUGUUCGAUACCGGGGCGGCUGACCCGGACGGGCCGAGGAGGAAGAGGGACGAGAGGAGGGAGCGGAUGCGGACGAGGAGGGAAGAGCAGGUGAGGACGACGAAACUGGAUGUGCUCGGCGUGAACUCCGGCGCGAAGGAUGGCAACGGUGGCACCUGGUUCGUGGGCCUAACCAGUCAGAUUUGUGCUUAGCGCGGGCGAAGCGAGCGAUUUUGCGACUUGGUAUGCCACGGAUUAGAAAAAAGUGGUAGUUUUUCGCACAAAAUCGUAAAGUGAUAGUUUUUUCGACACGUUUUCGUGAAAUGUCAUAGUUUUUGGUUAAAUACCCGUUGACAUGAGGAACAAGACUGUUUAAAAAGUGGGUGAGUACAACGCCAAGAGAACUCUUGGUAUAGGCAGGGGCUAUGAUGCAAGUAGGAUCUCCAAAUACUCCCUCCACCCUGAAAUAAGUGUCGUGGUUUGAACUAAAACCACGACACUUAUUUUGGGAAGGAGGGAGUACAUCUGAAUAAGGUAGCUAGGGAUGUGGUAGCUAGUUUGUGAGCGAUAAGAUGCAGCUUGGGUUGGAACCAUAGCCAGCAGGACACGGAUGAAAGUAGCAGAUGGUGCCAAUAAUUAAGCUCGUAUGUGAACUUUGUAUAUAGGAGAGGUUGAAGAAACGUCCUUUUUGUAUUUGAGGAUACUCUUUUCUUUUACUGUUUGUGCUUGGCGCUGUAAAAGCACAGGCCCUACAUACGUAGAAGAACUAAAAUCUAGGCAAAAUAAAAAACAUAUUAAGAUUCAUAUAUACUAGUUUCAAUUUUCGCUAAGAAUCCAGCCUUGCUAAUCUUAACUAUAUAUUCAUCGGCAACCUUCUCCAAAAGGAAUCAUUUUCAAUUGUUAUCAUAGUUAGUUCGUAUGUUAAAAAACAGUUUGUAUCCACCCACGUGAAACUAGCAAUCCACCGUGCGAUAAAUAGCGACUAAUAAUAGUAAUAAUUUUUUGUAAGGACAAAUAGCAACAUAUUAAAUGUAUCAUUUAUACUCUCGUUAGUGAAAUUUACUCUGAAUUCUUACUUUGCACGCAAUUAUUAUUUGUACUAUGCACUCAAAAUAAGCAAGUUCAAUGUCAUCUAGAAUGUAAACUUUUAAUCCUUCGACUUAACAAGGGAGACGCAUGCAGCUAAAAGAAAACUAGUGUGAGAGACAGGUGUGAGAAUUUACGGGAAGAGAAUUGAAUACUCGUGAGUAGAGUGUAUUUUGUACUGGACACUACUACUUCAUCUACUAACGUUAGCACAAAAACACAUGGUUCCAUUGAGUUUUUUUUUUUAGAAAACGACGAUAUACUCCGGCCUUUGCAUCUGGACGAUGCAUGCAACCAUUUUAUUAAUUAUUCACAGUGACCUUACAAAGUUGUACAUGAGUAAGCUUGAAACCACCAUCUUGGCAACAACUGUCACAACUCCUAUCCCCUUAAUGAAGGGUGUUGAAUGUCCGAGUCUAAUACCAAACAGACAUCGCACUGAAGCCUAACAUCUAAAGCCGGAUGCCCUAGCCCAGCCACAAUACCGGGACUAGGUCACACGCCGUUCUGGCGCAAUAUCAGAGGCCGCCGCCGCCGUCUUCCACGGUUCCACCUUGUAAGAAAAUAGGUUUGGGGGAACCGGCACAAUCCUCUAGGGGUGGCCUAUCACACAUAUAUAUAAUGAGGUGGUAUACAACGUUAUAAUAUACACAUGUAAAUACAGAAGCUAUACAGUCUAACACCCUCCCUCAAUGUUAGCCACUUCCUAAAGAAUCUAGAAGGGUAAGAUUGCGCCUGCAAACCUCAAACUGUGGUAAAGGCAAUGGCUUGGUGAAGAUAUCUGCAAGUUGAUCCUUGGAAGAGAUGAACUUGAUCUGUAGUUGCUUCUGAGAGACAUGUUCACGCACAAAGUGAUAGUCAACUUCAAUGUGUUUCGUUCGGGUAUGGAAUAACGGAUUUACAGAGAGGUAUGUAGCACCGAUGUUAUCACACCAAAGGACACGAGACUAUGGUUGGGAUAUACACAAUUCCCGAAGCAAAGACUGUACCCAGAUAAUCUCUGAAGUGGCAUUGGCCACAGCUUUAUACUCAACUUCAGUACUGCUAUGUGAGACAUUGGCCUGUUUUCGAGCACUCCAGGCGAUCAGAUUAGAGCCAAAGAACACAGCAUAACCCCCCGUGGAUUGCCUGUCAUCCGGAUUGCCAGCCCAAUCUGCAUCAGAAUAUGCUGAGAGACAUCCAUAGGAGGUCGGUCGAAUAUGCAAUCCAUGAGCCACCGUGAAUCGAAUGUAGCGCAAGAUACGCUUAAUAGCAGACCAAUGAAUAUCACGGGGUGACUGCAGAUACUGGCAGACUCGGUUAACAGCAAAGGAAAUGUCCGGUCAUGUGAUCGUCAAGUACUGAAGACCACCAACAAUACUCCUGUACUCCGUCGCACCAGCAGAAGACAGAAGCGCACCAUCAACAGCAGUGAGCUUGUCAGUGGUAGACAUGGGUGUAGUUGUCGGUUUGCACUUAAGCAUCCCAGCGCGCUGCAACAAAUCCAAGGAGUACUUUUUCUGCGUCAUAACAAGACCAUCAGCCUGAGAAGUAACCUCCACACCAAGGAAGUAGUGAAGCUUCCCAAGGUCCUUGACCGCAAAAUCACCACCAAGCGAGCGAACAAGAGCAGUAGCAGCCGACUGAGAGGAGCUGACCAAAAUAAUAUCAUCCAUAUAGACCAACAUGUAUGUAGUAACCUCAGGCCUCUGUAGAAGAAAUAGUGAGGAGCCAGCAAUUGAUGAUGCAAAACCAUGAGCGCGAAGGGCCAUUGCAAGACGAGCAUGCCAAGCACGAGGAGCCUGCUUCAGACCAUAAAGUGCCUUGGACAGACGACAGAGAUGAUCAGGACGACCCGGAUCAGAAAAACCCAGAGGUUGGCGCAUAUAGACCUCCUCCUCCAACACACAAUGGAGGAAGGAAUUUUGAACAUCAAGCUGACGAAGAAACCAACCUCGAGUAACGGCAAGAGAGAGAAGAAGCCUGAUGGUAGUAGGCUUGACCACUGGACUGAAGGUGUCUUCAUAGUCAAGACCAAAACGCCGUCGAAAACCACGAGCAACAAGACGAGCUUUGUAGCGCUCAAUGGACCCAUCAGAAUGCCUCUUCACUUUGAAAACCCAUUUAGAAUCAAUGACAUUAACCCGUGAUGGUGGAGGAACAAGAGUCCAUGUCUGAUUGCGAACGAGAGCUUGAUACUCCUGCUCCAUGGCCUCUCUCCAAUGAGGAAUGCGCACUGCAGUUUGAUACGUGCGCGGCUCGGAGGAGGGAUCUGUAAGGGCAGCAGUCAUGCAUGCAGCUAACGAGGCAACUGUACCAUCGGUACGUUGCUUAGGCUGAAAGAUGCCACUCCGGCUGCGCGUAUGUGGACGGGAAGCAGCAGCAGGAGCCAGCAAAGUCGAGGGCGACGGGGGCGUCACGGUCGGCGCAGGACCAGGCGAUGCCUCAGAGGAGCCGAUACCAGACGGCUCCGGGCUGCAUGGGGCCGAAGCCAGCCCGGACGAAGCCAGCCCCGAUGGCGAUGGCCCAGACGCCAUGGGCGAGAUGACGGCGGGCGAGGCCAGCCCCGAUAGCGAUGGCCUAGACGCCAUGGCCGAGACGGGGGCAGGUGAGGCCGGCCCAGUCGCCGUUGGUGACGAGGCGGGAGCGGGCGAGGCCAGCCCAGACGCCGUUGGUGUGACCGGGGUCCCAGGCCGCAGCUGCGGCGAUGCCGGCCCAGAGGCUAGAGGCGACGAUGCGGGCGACAGAACUGGGGCAUCGAUCGGCCGUGCAUGGGCACGGGGACCGAGGCCAUGCAAUGGCGCCAUGUGAUCGUCGUGCACAGCUGAAGGUGCCGACAAGGAAGGCGAUGGCAAUGAAGGAGGCGAUGGUGCCUCUAAGAUCUCCAAACGAGCCCCACGACCAGUGCCUGCACCAUGAUUAGGCAAGAAUAGAGGAGAAUAUGCAACAUCAUCAAAUUGGCCAGAAGAAACAGAGGGUGAAUGCAUGGGUGGUGGUUCGGCGGUGGACACAGGCAGUGGCGGAGCCACCGCCCAGCGACCCUGGCCACUUGCCCGGGCUCGCUGGUUGGUAACAGUAGUGAUCGACAGAUUAAAUAAAGGGCUAAAAACGAUCACUAACUUGCUUUACCCGGGCAAAAAACAUUGGGCUUCAUUUCUGAAAAGUUCAUAGCCCAACAAACAAGUAGUACUUGCAGUUAGAGUCAGCCCAGGACGAAGAAAACAGUGCAGGGAAUACCUACGAUGGAUCCAUCGAUCAAAUUGUCUCAUGUCUCAUUGUUUCUCACACAUGAGCGCAGGGACUGGUCGACAAAGGGGCACUGGCCCUAGACGGCUAGACGGACUGCCGGCGGCAAGUGACCCUAGGCUCCCACGCAGUUUAUUUGUCCGGUCGUUCCGCAGCCCCUCCUUCCUCUCAUCAGGCUUCGGCUUCAUCAACUUCCUUCGGUAAGAUAUCUAUGUGGAAAAUUAGGAGCAACGAUCUCUCAUCCCGAAGUAUGAAUGCUUGGUCUGGGAAGUAGGAUUGAUGCAAAGUACGGAUCGAGGUACACAGACCCCAUUAAUUAUACAUAUCCAGGCUAUGUUGUGUGAUAUAUGUAACUCAUGGUGUGAGAGUUCAAGGUCGGGCUUAGGGGUUAGGGUUUAAAUUUAGGGGGGAAGUAGUUGGGGGUGAUCAUGAAUUCAUGGAAUUAGUGGAUGAUGUCAAAGCUGGCUGGCAACAUUAAGAGAGAGUGAUUGGGAUGAUUUAUUUUAUGAUGUUCAAGAAUUUUGUGCUGCUCAUAGUAUUCCAGUGCCAAAUAUGGAUGAAGUAAUACUGGUUCGUGGUCAUUCAAGGAGAGCAGGGAGGACUGUCACUAAUCUUCACCAUUACCAUCCAGAGAUUUUUUUUUGUGUGUUGCUAUUGACAAAAUAUGCGUGGAGAUGGAUCACCGCUUUAGUGAAGGAGCUAAUGGUGUGCUUGAUUUCUUUUCAUGUCUUGACCCCAAUAAUUCUUUCUCCAAGUUUAAUGUUGAUAAGCUUGUGCGUCUUGCAGAAAUUUAUCAUGAUGACUUUUCCAAUGAUGACUGUGGAACAAUUAGAGAGAAACUUAUCACUUAUACUCCCUCCGUUUCAAAAUAGAUGACUCAAUUUUGUACUAACUUUAAUACAAAAUUGAGUCAUCUAUUUUGGAGCGGAGGGAGUAUAAGUCAAAUGAAAAGGCAUGCUUCUUUGUCUUCUUUUGAUGAUGUUCAAAGUUUGGCCGUGAAGAUGGUUGAAACAGAGAAACAUUUGGUAUUUUCAUUGGUGUACAAAUUAACUAGUUGGUUUUGAUAUUGCUGGUGUCAACAACAUCUAUUGACAGAUCUUUUUCAGCAAUGAAGAUUAUCAAGACUAAACUGCGUAGCAAGAACAAUAAUUAAUGGUUUAAUGACUUGAUGAUUUAUUACACCGAGCGGGAGUUAUUCAAAUCAGUUGACGACAAGGAUAUUAUUCAUACACUUACUAAAAUGAGUUCUCAGAAAGGGCAUUUGCCUCGUGAUUUUCUUUAGUGCACUGUCGGUAUGUUCCAUCUGACCAUCUCUAUUCUUGUAAGCUUUUUAUUUCAAAUCUCACAACUAAAUUUAUUUCAUUAGAAAUCCAUUUUUAUAUUCUAGUGCCUUCUAGGACUUCGGGAACAAGAUGAGUUUGCCUCUACGCAAGGCUGAUUGUAUGUCUUUCUUUUGGCAAAAAUGAACAAGUGAGAGAUGCUUCUGAUCAUGAUGGAAGAAAUUGCACGAUCACAUCCGGUGACAUAUGGUAUGUAACUAUGUUUAGCUUACUUUUGUUGGCAACAUGGCGAGUUUGCCUGUAUGCAAGGUUGGCUAUGUAUCUUUUGUUGUCAUGUCUCAAGUUUAUUUGGUCUAUGAAGUGGAUAUUGAUAUAUUAACUCACCUUAAAAAUUAAAUUUCAUGUGACUAUUAUAGUUAAGUUUUCACUUCAUUAUUAAUGUGGAUUUGUGAUUCCGAAGCAUGGCGGUAUGGUAUAUGUUGUGUAUUUGAAUACCUUAUUUUUUUUUCUAGAUUAUACACUUAGGCUUAAUUUGCCCAGGCUCCACAAGAGUUCUGGCUCCGCCACUGGACACAGGAAGUUUGGCAAAGGGAAAAACAUGCUCAUCAAACACGACAUCCCGAGAUAUAUAGACACGAUUAGUGGGCACAUGAAGACAUUUGUAUCCUUUAUGAAGAGAGCUAUAACCAACAAAUACACACUUCUUGAAACGAAACUCAAGCUUGCGCUUGUUAUAUGGACGGAGAUGGGGCCAGCAAGCACACCCAAACACCUUGAAAAAGAUGUAGUCCGGUUGUUCAUUAAGAAGAACUUCAAUGGGAGUCUUCAUGUUCAAAACACGAGUGGGAGUACGGUUGAUGAGAAAACAUGCAGUGGUGAAAGCAUCACUCCAAAACCGAAACGGAACAGAUGCAUGGGCCAAAAGAGUAAGACCAGCUUCAACAAUGUGACGAUGCUUAUGUUCUACUGAACCAUUCUGCUGAUGUGUAUGUGGACAUGCUAAACGGUGAGCGAUCCCAAGCGACUGAAAAAAGGAGUUGAGGUUGCGAUACUCGCCGCCCCAAUCCGACUGGACAUGAACAAUUUUGUACUUGAGAAGACGUUCAACAUGUUUUUGAAACUGAACAAAAAUGUUAAACACAUCAGAUUUACGUUUACUAAGAUAAAGCCAGGUAAAGCCACUAUAAGCAUCAACGAAACUGAUAUAAUAAUUGUGGCCACUGACAGAAGUCUAAGCAGGACCCCAUACAUCUUAAAACACAAGUUCUAAAGGAUGUUUCACCUCACGACUGGACUCCGAAAAAGGAAGUUGAUGACUCUUCCCCUGCUGACAAGCAUCACACACUGCUACAUUUUUAUUACUAGACACACUAGGAAGCUCAUGACGACGCAAAACAUGACGGACAAUAGGUGUGGCCGGGUGACCAAGACGAGCAUGCCCUCUAGGGGUGGCCUAUCACAUAUAUAUAAUGAGGUGGUAUACAACGUUACAGUAUACACAUGUAAAUACAGAAGCUAUACAGUCUAACACACCUCCAGAGCAGGUACUAACGCACCGACCUUGCCAGGCCUGCCGUCGACGCCACCACGAUGCCAGACAACGCCACCAUCCUGCACGUAUCCAUCCACACGCAUCCGUCGGCGAAACUCCGCAGCGCCAUGCCGCUGGGAUCCAUCGUCGGCCUUGCGGUAGAUGUAACACUCCUCCUCCUCUUGCCCCCUCCAGGCAGCUUCUGCUCCAAAACAAUGCCCCCAGGAGGGAGAACGACACCGAAGGUGUCAUCAUCGUCUGAUUCGGUAGACUCAGAUCUAGGAUUUUCCCCGAAACAUCUCGAUCGAGUUGACAUGUGGAGAAGGAAACGACGUCAGAGACACCACCAUCGUCCGCCAAGACCGCAGUCAGGCGCGAUUUUCACAUGGUUCCAUUGGGUGGAAGCGAAGUAAACACAAAAAAUGAGCACUACUUGGCCGUGCGAUUAACUCUCAACUUGACAUUUUAUUUAACAACACGCCUACAUGCACAUCAUCAAACAGAAACGGAUGGACAUCCCCAAUUAGCUUUUUGACUAUUGUGUACGCUGGGAAUUAAAGCUCCGUACAACCGUUGCUUUACAUAGGCCGGCAAGCAAUAUCCGAGAAGAAUCGAAAAGCGGCCCUCUCGAUCCAAUCAAGACAUCUCUUGGUGCUCAAGGUUUAAUCCUAGUAUCUGCCGUGAGGUCAUUUUGAAUAUUACUUUCGGACAACCACAUACAUACACAUGACAGGCUCUGAAAUUAAUGUCGCGAAGACCUUGUUGAUCUUCAGGACAGCAUGUCGACAUCCGCAGAUUUUAUGUCUGUGGUGAGUAAAGCUGGAGAGCAGUUAGACAGGAUAACCAUGUGUCUUUUUUACUCGCACAAAAAAAGAAAAAGACAGGAUAACCCUGGGCUAAGCAAUGAGCACCACCUAUCCAUCCCUGUGACUUAACUUCUCUUCACACGCACAGCGCAGGUAGAUAUAUGGAGUGUAGGAUUGAAAGUUACAGCCACAGUCAGAAGGAGACAAUCAGAAAUAUUUGCGCACACACAGCCAUAGCUCAUACGGGUGCACUUUACGCUAGUGGAGCAGUAUUAGUUACUCUGAAUUGAUCGCCAGUGGACGCUGGACCUUACGCUGCCCGUUGAUUGGCUCGCCGUGGCUAUAAACACCAGGCUCCGGUGUCCAGGGGAAGCACUCAGCCGGCCAUCCAUCAUCCCUCCCACUGAAUACCAGCACGAUAGGUGCCAGCCAUGGCGAGGCGCCGCCACUCUUCCUCUGGUCUCCUAUGCGUCCUCUUCCUCCUGAUCACUGCUGCCAUGGCAGCGGACGGUGCAGGAGCGCGACAGCGGAAAUUGCAGCAAGUGCCAGGGCCACAGCCGCUGCCACUACCAAACCCACGCCCACAGCCGGGGCCACAGCCCGUGCCACUACCGAUUCCGAACCCGCAGCCUGACCCGAACCCACAACCUUUGCCGAACCCAGACCCAAACCCGCAGCCACAACCAUUACCGCAGCCACAGCCGGACCCAAACCCGCAGCCACAGCCAUUACCGCAGCCUCUUCCACAACCACUGCCGGACCCAAACCCACAGCCACAGCCUUUACCACCACAGCCUCUGCCACAACCACUGCCGGGCCCAAACGCGCAACCGCUGCCAUUACCGCCGCCUCUGCCACUAUCACCGCCGGGCCCAAACGCGCAACCGAUGCCAUUACCGCCGCCUCUACCACUACCACCGCCGGGUCCAAACCCACAGCCACUGCCGCAACCGGAUGCCCCGGGCUCAUAUCCACAGGUACAACCGUUGCCAGACUCAAACACGCCCGGCCGACAAAAUAACGCACUACAGGGACCACUUGGAAAUGGUGCAGCCCCAGCCUUAUAUUCAUGCGGUGCAACCUACAUACACGUAUUCUUCAUCGGUUUAUUAUUGUACUAUUUUGUUUAGAUAAAGUGACGCUUGUUCAUGUAAAUAUAUUUGCCAUUUCUCUAGACUCCAUAAAAUAAUGUAUCGAUUGGGCAUGAUCUCUUUGUAUUUACAUUUAUACUAGUAUAUUAUUUGUAAUAAAAACUUAUAUGAUUGUGUACAAGUAGUUUGUGUACUUACAAAAAGCAGAACCAUUUGUGUAUGCAUUUGAUACACAUGUCGUUCUGAUAUUUUUAGUUAUAUUUCUGGUCUGACUGACUUGCGUAUGGUUGCACACCUUACCCAACACUCUACGUUCAGAAUCGUAAGGUGUGCCUACGUUUUGAAUUUGUCUUCAAUCCACUAUUUUGUUAGAAAUAUAUUUGGAUUCCAUGGUGCAAAAUUGAUAUCAUUGUACCUGUAUGAAAAGUUGAAAACCACUUCAUAGUGAUAUCAAUUUUUUUGUCAAGGCUUUAAGAGGUGGGGUGGGGAGAGGGAUUGACUGUCUACCAAGAAGUCCGUUCUUAUGUAUGUCACGAUCCUGGAGUGUCUGAUCGACGCAACAAUAACCUCCCGCUAAAUUUUUUGCUGCAUUUUCCUUCACGGACUGACAAAAAAUGGUGCAAGAACAUGGCAAUAUUUUGAACACACGAAUGCAACAAAAAAUAUAACGUAUGUAUCAAAUCAUUGGAAAGUAUUCACAACAUACACAAGUACACCAUAAAACCAACGUAUGAAACAUAACAUGGCCAUAUAUUAUCAAUUGUGGUUGUUCAUGACGAGGUUAUGUUUAGAAAGCUGAAGUAUCCUUGGGAAAUCUAUGGAAGGAGAAUGUGCAUAAGGUCAUUAAAGAACAAAAAUAUUUGUUGUCUUCUCUCUAUAUGACACUAAUUAUUGUAUAGUGGUAUGAAUUUUAGAAGGGAGUGUUUAUUUCUCAAGGAGGGGGAGGGUGCUAUCCAAAAAAAAUGAAAAAUGAUGAUCUUGGACAUGGAAUUUUGAUAUAAAGGUCUAUCGACCAACUGCAUAUUUCAACAUUAAGUGUAACUUAAGAUUUAGAUAUAUACAUAAUUGGUCAAUUGCACAUUUGUUGAAUGGAAAAUAAUAACUUCUUAAGCUGACGACGAAAGUCAAGUCUUCUAUUAAAUAUGUACAACACAUGAAAAGGAUACAAAUUUUGGAGGAUAGAAAUCAUGUAGAUUUUUUUUUCUUUGGUACUGUUUCAAACGAAGGAUUCUCUGUCAUGGAUUUAUUUGAAAAUCCUAGAUUAAUCGAAAGAAAUUUUGGGAAAAUCAAACAUGAGGUGCCAUCGCAUUUUUUUAAUUGUUUUACAUCUGGAUAGAAUUCAUAUGUUCUCUUCUCUUCAUGUUUAGAGUUCCUAUGUUCUUUCUACUCGACAUCGAAGCAAUAACCAUUGAAACAAAGCAAGUGGUUUGGACAGAGAAUUUGAGAGGUGGAGACAAGCAAUUUAUAUUGUUUCAUAAUAUCAACAUUGUCAUUCUAAACAGGACAACACGAAGGCAAAAACAUUAGCACAAUAUAAUCCUUACCACUGUUCAAGAAUUCAUCUGAUUAAUUAGUUAAUGGGCCAGUUAAUCUCUACUCGUAGGGUGACCGAAUCGAAUAGCACAUAUUCAUCGUGUUAACUUGUCAGGCCGAUUAAUUCGCUAGUUAGACCGAUUAAUCGGUUGUUAGGCCGAUUAAUCACUGAUGUCCCAUUAACUUGUGGGCAAACAAAGCCCAAAAAAAUUCACUGUAACCCUCUCAUCCCCCUCUCGCUCCUCAAUAGUUAGGGUUCGACCAAACAGUAGCAUAUUUUGGUAUAUUACAUAGUUGAGAGCAUGAGAGUAUGGUAUAAUAAACAAAAAGACUAGAUAUAUGUUGGAAAUUCAUGUUUAAUCUACCGAUGAAUGGUCGACCGAUUAAUCCAGUUAACAGGUCGAUUCAGCGAUUAAUCACUACUACCAAGCCGACCGAGCAGCAACCAGUUACCGAUUUCCUGACAAUGAUCCUUACUCUAUCCGAAUAUAUGGUACUAAACUCAGCGUCCCUGUCAAUUUUGGAGCUCCGGCUCCAUGGAGCCUUUUUUGUAUUUAAUUUUUUGAAAACUCUACUUGAAUAUGAUGGUUAGCCAAUGCAUGUAGCCCUAGCAGUUAAAAUCAUACCCGCGUUACUAAAACACACGCAUGCAUAUGACUGGAGAAUGAGGGGGCAUGCAACGUGGGAACGUAUCUGGUGCACCGGAGCAAUUGGUGCUACCGGUGCACCGGACCAUGUUACACAUUAAAAAAUGUUUAAAAAAAUCUGAGAAAAAUUUAGUGCAUCGACACAACAUCAAUGUAUGUUGUCACAAAAAUUCAAAUUAAAAUUCAAAAUAAUGCUCAAGAUACAAAAAUGACAAAUUUGACGUAAAUGUGCUAAUGGGCCAAAACUGAAGCCCAACUUGUUUUAUGUACUGUUCAAUGCCAAAUUUGUCAUUUUUGUAUCUCAAGCAAUGUUUUGAAUUUUGAUAUGAAUUUUUUGUGACAACGUACAUUGAUGUUGUCUCAAUGCACUAAUUUUUUCUUGAAAUUUUUUGAACAAUUUUUAAUCUGCAACGGCGACCGGUGCACCGGUAGCACCAAAUGCCCCGGUGCACCAGAUACAUCCCCCAUGCAACGUCAUGAUAGGUUAGCUUGUCGGAGAGUUACAAGAUUCAAUAAUUUUAAGACAAUAAGCAUGAUAAAAUCCUCAUUGGUAUCUACAGUUUUGAAACUAUGCCCAGUAUACCCAGACAGAGGGAGUGCUUGAGAACGCGAAAAACUCCGUUGACGAAGCAGGCGACGGAGCCCUGGGGCUUUGUGGUGAAGCUCACGCACGAGGUGGCUGCUCGAUCGGGCCAGUUCCUUUCCAUUGUGAAUUGAACUGAUGUGAUUGCUUUUUUACUUUGUAAUUGCACUAACGUGUACACGGUCUAUCUUGAUUUCUAAAUGAUGGCCGGUCACAUGUAGUACGUGUGAGCACGGGAUUGACAAGGCAACCAACAGAAUUCUAUUACUACGGGUAGGCAACUAGUAAUAGAGUAAAAAUAUUGUUACUCGCCCUACUAUCAUCACAUAAAGACACACACAGAAAAAUCCAACUGUGCUUAUUGGCACCUCCUGUUUGGUAGGUUGCUGCAUUUGUAAUCAACCAAUAUAACUCCAGUGGCAUGUUACGCAGUACUUGUCACUCCAGCUAAGCUAGCUGCAAUGUUUAUUAAUGCAGCCUCCAAAUCUGGUUUGUUUCGCCCACCCUAUAAAACCAGACAAUAUGUAUCUCCAGCUCUCCACACAACACACACACACACACAAAGCACAGCAGGUGCAACACUAGCUGCAAGCACAAGAAGUAGGCAGCAAUGGUGAGGCAUCGCCUCCUCGCCGUGCUCCUCAUCGGGGUAGUUGCAGCCUCUGCCUUCAACCAAGCAGCUGCCGCUGGCCGAGGCCUUGCCGCCAUCGAGAAGUUUGCAGAGCUAGAGCCAAAGCCAGAAACCAAACCAGAGCCAAUGCCCAAACCUACGCCACACCCAGAGCCAGAGCCAUGCGAACCUGAACCGAUGCCCAAACCCAAACCAAAGCCCGAACCAAAACCCGGACAAAAGCCCAAGCCCAAGCCGAUGCCAAAACCAAAGCCCAAGCCCUGCUCCAAACCAAAGCCACUUCCUAAGCCCGAGCCAAUGCCGAAACCCGAACCAAAGCCGGAGCCCAAGCCUAAUGAACCGAAACCGAAGCCGCCUCCUAAGUGCAAACCACCGACGGCUCACAAUUGAUGGGAUACUUGUAUAUGACAGUUGAUGGAGGAGACCCCAUAAUGGAGGACACCCCAUACGGCGCCACACUGUGCUAUUUCUAGAAUAAGUGGUUCCAUUUAUUUUUAUUGUUCCAUGCAUGUGUGAUGAGUAUGAGUACUCUGUACUUAUUAUUUGCUUGUUGGUAUAUGUUCAUCUACUUUGUACGUGACUCGACUCGUUGUUCUUUUGAGUUUCUACACAUGAUUGUAUUCAUUCACAUGAAUGAGCUAUUUUGUCAGUGAACUGCAGUCUAUGUUGUUUUCUCUAUGGUGUGCAGUCUCAGUUAUUUUCUCUACGGGAUUGUUUCAUUAUUANNNNNNNNNNNNNNNNNNNNNNNNNNNNNNNNNNNNNNNNNNNNNNNNNNNNNNNNNNNNNNNNNNNNNNNNNNNNNNNNNNNNNNNNNNNNNNNNNNNNNNNNNNNNNNNNNNNNNNNNNNNNNNNNNNNNNNNNNNNNNNNNNNNNNNNNNNNNNNNNNNNNNNNNNNNNNNNNNNNNNNNNNNNNNNNNNNNNNNNNNNNNNNNNNNNNNNNNNNNNNNNNNNNNNNNNNNNNNNNNNNNNNNNNNNNNNNNNNNNNNNNNNNNNNNNNNNNNNNNNNNNNNNNNNNNNNNNNNNNNNNNNNNNNNNNNNNNNNNNNNNNNNNNNNNNNNNNNNNNNCAUAAGGGAAGAGAAGGCCUCCCUAAAUAGCAGCACAAUAUGAAGUGUAUAGUGUGCACGUACGUGUCUGGUGUUCUAGAUGUAUAAAGUGUACCCAUAUGCUAGACAACGGCCUUGUUCUCUACCUUUCACCUAUGAACUAAGUCCCGACCAAGUACGUUAGUAUUUAUGCCCAGGCUCUGUGAGUGAGCUGGCUCCGCUGCUGGUUAUACUAGGUAUACGUCACACACAUUGCUACGGAAAAUUAUAGCAAUGAAAUUAUGAAAAAUAGCAUAUAUGAGAAUAAUACCACACAACAUUCUCACCAUAUGAGGAUAGAAAACCUAGACAUAACUGGAGGUGGAUGCAUGUUAUAUAUAUUGUCUUGUGACCUCCAAGUUUAAUUAUUUGUUGCUGAAAUAUAAAUAGUAAAAAUAAUGUGGUGAAGAGCUUGCAUAUGUUUGAUGAUGUGGAGGACUUGCAUAUGAUGGAAAGUGAAAAUUCGAAUGAUUACAUGCACGCUUGAUGAUAUGGAGGACUUAUGUGUGAUGAAAACUGGUAAGUGAAAGUUGAUUGGUUGCAUGCCCUCCAUAAUGUGAUUGACAUGCAUGUGCAUUUAAAUGGGAUGAAUUACUUAGAUAUAUAGGAUAUGUGUGAAAGGUAACUACACCCCCUAGGUCAAGAUUACCAAUAAAAGGCACCAUGAAUUUUUUUAUUAACGUAUUUUCUCUUUAUCAAUUCGCAACAAGAAAAAUCUCACAGUGAUAGUGUUAUGCAACAUACGAGAGACCAUAAUAAUCUCUCACCACCCCAUGGUACUGGCAGGGUCGGCUCAAUGAUUUUGAGAGCCCUUGGGUGAAGUUGGCGAAUUGAUUGUCUUUUGCUUCAACACCCGACAAAUCCUUUUUAAGCAACAUUAGGGUAACCAUAAAACUAAAGAGGAAAGUAAAUACAUAAAUAGAGAAGUUAGAGCCCUAACAUUUAACAUGCUUCGACGAAUGGGUGGCACUGGUAAUAUGGUUAUGGGUGUGUGGAAUGAGAGGCCUAGAGAGUGACAAGCUGGUGCCUCGCUGUCACAGACAUCUGAGGAGGUGGCGAGACUCAUGCCGUCAAGCUUACCCGCGAAGACAAAGAUCGCGAAUUGCGAUUAGGAGAGCUGGUGAUGCCAUGUGUUAGUGUCGCGUGCCGAUUGUGAUUAUUUUCAUUUUUAUGGACCAAUUCAACUAUUGACUAAAGACCUAAAGCUUGCUUUUAGGAGAGCAUGUAUGCCUCACUUUUAGGAGAGCAUCUUCACUGCGCUUAUAGCGCUCAUUAGUGCCACAUCGCACAGGUGCUCGCACGCAUAGGUCGUCUCAUUAAAAAGCAAAGGGGUUGCUUGCCCGACGCCCACUACACUCUUUUCUUGCCCGUCUUUUUUCUGGGAUUGCUCUGUUAUGCAAUGAAAGAAAACAUUCACCACUUUUCCAAAUUUAAAACAUUCAUGAAUAUGAAAAUGUUCACAUAUUUGAAAAAAUACGGGUUUGAAAAAAUUAAAUUAAUUCAAAAACACUGAUGACUUAAAAAAUGACAAGUUCAUUUUUUUGUGAAUUUGAAAAAAGGGAAUUCAAACAAGAUUGUAAAUUUGAAAAAAUGUUCACAAAUUUGAAAAAAUUCAUGAAGUUUAAAGUAAAUAUAAAAAAACUGAAGCAAGGCAGAAAAGUAAAAAAAGAGAAAGAAAAACCUGGCCGAAAGUUUCCUGAACCAAAGUUGACCAAUAAGCUUCUGGAAGCUUUCGGGAGUAGCUUCCGCUCACAUAAACGCCAUAGAUUGGCCAACCCUUUUACGAUCUAUAAAAGGAAGAGGUGUGCGCACUUUCUACCAAUAACUUAGAAACCAGUGCUAAAUAACAUAUUUCCACUUUUAGCGAGGGGUAGAACAGAAUUCGACUACAGAGCCACCAUAUGUGCCAAUCGCAACAUUUUUUUCUAGCAAACAAGUUUUUGUCUAUAGGGGGACACGUCUCACCGCCAACGAACGGAUUUUUCUCAUUUUUAUUUUCAUUUUUCUCAUUUUUGAGAAACUUUUCUAUAAAAUAUAUGGAUUUGUACUUUUUUACAAGUGAUCAUGUAGUUUAAUAAGUGUUCAUGUACUUCAAAAAUGUUCAUAAGAUAUUUGUGAAACGUUUUCAAAAUAUCAAACAUUUUGCAAAUACACAUAGAUUAAAAAGUGUUCAUAUUUUUCCAAAAAUACACACUGUGAACAUUUUGAACAAUACAGGAUCUAGAUUUAUUUUAAUACAUGAUGAAUCAUUGAAAUAACAAUAUUUUCUGAAAACAAAAAAUGUUUUUCUUAUCCAUGAUAAUUUUUAAAUACACUGUAAAUAUUUUGUUCGUACACGAAGAACAUUUGGUAAAAAACAUGAGUGAACAUUGCCCGCUGCCGGUGAGGGAGGGGCGAUGAUGGUGGUGCACUUUCAGCUUGAUCGAGUGAUUUUAUACAUCGCUAGGUGGUCUAUGGAUCUGAAUGUAUGUUCUAUUACUUCUGGUGUUCUUAUACUGACAUGACAGUUGAUAAAUAGAUCCAAAACAAUCAUAAAAAAAUAAAAAUAAAAUGUUCAACUUGUCUUAAUAAUUGUUCUUGAGAUUUAAAAUAUAUAUUCUGAUUGUUCCAGAAAAAUUACAUUUCAAUUGUUUUCACAUGUUUACAAAAUUGUUCAUUGCAAUAUUAAAAUGUUCAUGAAAUAUAUAUAAAAAUGUUUUCUUACAGUUUAUAAAAAUAUUCGUGGUAUAUAAAACUUGUUCAUCAUGUUUUAUAAAACGUUCAAACAUGUAUUGGAAAAAUAUUCUAUGUGUAUUUAAAAAAUAUUAAUAUUUUCAAAACAAUCAACAUGUAUUUGAAAUAUGGAAAAUGAAAAACAAAAUAAAAAACAAGAAAAAUAUACAGAAAAGUAAAAGGAAAAAACAAAAAUGAAAACCCUAGACAAACCAGAUAAAGAAAACAGGAAAAAAUCCGGAUAAAACGUUCUGAAAAUCGCAUGAAACAAACCAAUGCUACACUGCCUCCACCGCUACUGGGCCACAGCCCGCACCGCAUCACCAAAGGUGAGCGCCUCACAGUAUGUAGAGACAUAGCAUUUGCGCAAAAUGACCGCACGCAUUGAACAAACUGUUGGCUAGCUAGUUAUUAGAAUGACAUGUAGACUUUUUAAACUCAACAAAAUUAUAGGUACAAUGCUUUGGAUCAUAGAUACAAGAAAUUACAAAAUAACUUCUAUAACUAAGAAUUAGAAUGAAACCCUCUGGAGUCAAAAUAUGAUAAAUGGAGGAAAAAACAUUACUCCCUCCGUUCCACAAUAUAAGACAUUUUUGCAAGCUAGUUAAAACGUCUUAUAUUGUGGGACGGAGGAGUAGCUCAUAUAAUCCUUCCUCUUUCCGAAUAUAUGGCGGUGCUAAACUGGAAAAUCAUACAUGCAUAACUAAAACACAUGCACGCAUGAGACUGGAGAAUGAGAGCAUGCAGCAUCAAAAUAGGUUAGUUUGUCGGAGAGUUAUAAGAUUCAAUAGUUUGAGACAAUACGCAUAAUAAAAUCCCCAUUGCUAUCUAUGUGCCUAGUAUAUAUAUCGGGCCAGAGGGAGUGCUUGAGAAAACACCGAGUCAGCAAAAAUCGGUCAAUGAAGCUUCCAACUGGUGGUGCAGCCGUGCAGCUCACGCACGAGGUGCACAAUCCUCGGCCAGUUCCUUUCCAGAGACCUUUGCUUUCCAUUGUGAAUUGAACUGAAGCGUUUGCUUUGUACUCCCUCUGUAAACUAAUAUAAAAGCAUUUAGAUCAUUAUAAAGUAGUGAUCUAGACGCUUUUAUAUUAGUUUCCGGAGGAAGUACUUUGUAUUGCAUUGCACUAACGUGUACACGGUCUAUCUUGUUUUCUAAAUGAUGACCGGUCACACGGACUUGUGGGCACGGGAUUGACAAGGCAACUAACAGAAUUCUAUUACUACGAGGAGGCAACUAACAGAAUUCUAUUACUACGAGGAGGCAACUAACAAAGUAAAAAUAUCGUUACUCACCCUACUAUCAUCAUAGAGAUACACACGUAAUAUCCAGCUGUGCUUAGGCUGGUCAUAGUGGGGAGUAACUUAGAGUAGUAACAUGCAUAUGUUACUACUCUAGUUACUACCCUUAUAGUGGGAAAUGUCAUAUGUGUAGUAACAUACACAUGUUCAUUUAUUGUCUUAUAGACUCAUUUUGCAUUGAAAAGCGCUAUGUGAUGGUAACAUAUUAGGUUACUCUAUUUACCUCUCUCCUCAUUUACUACUUGUCACAUCAACAUUUUUGCUUAUGUGGCAUCUAUGUUACUACCUAUGUUACUCCCACUAUGACCAGCCUUAUUAACACCUCUACCUACGUAGUAGGUUGCUUCAUUUGUAAUCAACAAAUUAACCAAUCCAUUGCCAAUUUGCCAUGUUACCCAGUACUACUUGUCAGUCCAGCUAGCUAUCUGCAAUUUACUAAUUAAUGCAGCCUCCAGAUCUGGUUUGUUUCACCCAGCCUAUAAAACCACACAAUAUGUACCUCCAGUUUUGCACACAACACACACACAAAGCACAACAGCUAGCUGCAACCACAAGUAGGCUGUAAUGGCGAGGCAUCGCCUCCUUGCCGUGCUCCUCAUCGGGAUAGUUGCAGCCUCCACCUUCAACCAAGCAGCUGCGGCUGGCCGAGGCCUUGCCGUUGUCGAGAAAUUUGCAGAGCUAGAGCCAAAGCCAGAAUCCAAACCAGAGCCAAUGCCCAAACCUAUGCCACACACAGAGCCAGAACCAUGCAAACCUGAACCGACGCCCAAACCCAAACCAAAGCCCGGACAGAAGCCUGAACCAGAACCCAAGCCCAAGCCGAUGCCAAAACCGAAGCCCGAGCCCUGCUCCAAACCAAAGCCGGGGCCUAAGCCCGAGCCGAUGCCAAAACCUGAACCAAAGUCGGAGCCCAAGCCUAAACCUGAACCGAAACCAAAGCCGCCUCCAAAGUGCAAACCACCAACAACUCACAAUUGAUGGGAUACUAUAUACGAGAGUUGAUGGAGGAGACCCCGCACGGAGCCACACUAUGCUAUUUCUAGAAUAAGUGGUGUAGUAUUCCUUGUGUUCCAUUUCUUUCUAUUUUCCCAUGUGAGCGUGAUGAGUACUAGUAGUGUGUAAUUACUAUUUGGUUGUUGGUAUAUGUUCAUCUACUUUGUAUGUGACUUGACUCGCGUUGUUCUUUUGAGUAUCUACGCAUGAUUGUAUUCAUUCACAUGAAUGAGCUAUUUUGUCAGUGGACUGCAGUCUGCUGUUUUUCCUAUGGGUUGCAAUCUCAGUUAUCUCUAUGGGAUUAUUUCAUAUUAUGUGGUCUUUUUUGGGGGGAAAGAUGAUGUCAACAAAAAGGAAGAGAAGGACUCCCUAAAUUGCAGCACGCAUAUGAAGUGUAUAUGCGGGUAUGUGUCUGGUGUUCUAGAUGUAUAAAGUGUACUCACAUGCCAGACAGCGGUUUUGUUCUCUACCCUUCGCCUAUGAACUAAGUCCCGACCAGGUGCGUUAGUAUUUGGUUUGAGCCCCGUUCCUACAUCCUGCUUGAGCCCCGUUCCUACCCUAGCGCCGCCACCACCAGGCGACUAGGGAGAGGCGAUCUUUUCCUCCGAUCUCCACCGGCCGGGGCGCUGGCCCCCUCUCCCUUCGGCCACUGCUCCGGCGGCAGGAGGGAGGGGGACCCCGUUCCUUCGCUCUGUAGUUAGGGUUUGGAUUUGUAGGUCGUGGUGCGUCGUUGGGGUGGUGGGAGCGGCACCUGGACGAAUAAAUCUGCUUCAACUCUACUCCCACACCGGCGGUGUCUUUCAUGGCGGCGUCUCGGAGUUGAUGGCAUCGUGUCUCUGUCGAUCCCUCAGAUCGGCAGCAUUAGGGUUCAUGGAUGAUGUUGGCGAGACGGCGGCGGCGACUCCAUCAGGUGUGUCUCUCCUUAUGCUCUGUCCCGGUUGCUGUGGCGUUGUCUCCGACGUCAUGGUGGAGCAGGGAGGUUUUGUCGUUCAGGAGUACGCGCAGGCGGUUGUCUACACAAGUGACAGCUGGAAGAUGGAGUAUCCUGUGUUGGGUCUGUGGUCGAAGGAUGCCAGUUCUGGUUUCCUCCUCCGACGUCGUCAUCGUCAUGCGGGGGUGUCAGUUCUGAAAUUCGAUGGCGUGUACGGGGACAUGUUGCCCCGGUCUGAUUCUGUCAACGGCUAUGGUUUUGUUUCUGGCAAACUACUUUGGAGGUCCGUAAAGCUGUUGAUCAGCGAUGAAGUCGCAUCGAGCUUUGGUGAAGAGGUGAUCUGUCUUUUUAUCCUUUGGUGGUCACUUCGGUGGUGUCCAAGGAAAGGGACAUGCGCUAGUAUUUUGCAUAAGAUUUUCCUAUCUUUUCAGUUAUGUAUGAUCGGUGCUUACAUGACUUGUAACUUGAUCUUUAUUCUAUUUCUAUAUAAAUGAGACACGUAUUAUCAUGAAAAAAAAGGUGCAUUAGUAGUUAUACCCAGGCUCUACUAGUGAGUUGGCUCCGUUGCUAGUUAUACUAGGUAAACAUCACACACAUUGCUACGGAAAUUUAAAGCAAUGAAAUUAUAAAAAAUAGCAUAUAUGUGAAUAAUACCAUACAACAUUCUCAACAUAUGACAAUAGAAAACCUAGAUGUAACUGGAGGGUGGAUGCAUGUUAUGUUGUCUUGUGACCUUCAAGUUUAAUUAUUUGUUGUUGAAAGAUAAUAAAUAGUAAAAAUAAUGAGGUGAAGAGCGUGCGUGUGUUUCAUGAUGUGGAGGGCUUGCAUAUGAUGGAAAGCGAAAAGUCAAAUGAUUACAUGCACCCUUGAUGAUGUGGAGGACUUGCAUGUGAUAAAAAAUGGUAAGUGAAAGUUGAUUGGUUGCAUGUCUUUCAUGAUGUGAUUAAUUUGCAUGUGCAUUUAAAUGGGAUGACUUACUUAGAUAUAUAGGAUAUAUGUGUGAAAGGUUACUGCAACCCCCCGGUAUAUAUGUGUGAAAGGUAAUUGCACCCCCUGGUAAAGAGAUAAGUGCCGGAGCUACCAAAAAAUUAUUGGGCAGGCCAAGGUGGCCCGUCCUAAAGGAAACACAUUUUUCUCUCUCAAAAGGCCCAAGUUUACCUAUACUAUGGCCACGUAAGGUAGAGUGGAAGAAAAGCUCUCACGUCGCCCCUCUCGGGCGACUCGGGAGCGGCCCCAAACCCUAGCCGCCACCUCCUCUCCUCCCUCCUGCCCCCUCCUCGCCGCCACCCGAGGAGCCUGCCGGCUGCCGCGCGUCUUCCGGUGAAGGUGGCGGCGAGGAUCUGCUGCCUCGCGCCGGCGUGAGGAGCUUUGGAAGCCAGGGCGGCGGCCCUGGGUGGAGAUGGAGGCGUCGAUUUCUCCGGUGGAUGAUGCGCGUAGGUGAUGGUCGUCCCUCCCGGCCGCGUGGGUGGCGUGAGGACGGCGAGGUCUUGCUGCAGCGGUGGGCGGCUCUCUUCCUCCCAGCCCCUUCCCUCCUGCAGUGGUCUCCUCUCGCCGAUCUGGUGGCUGGUUCGUCAGAUCUGGGCUUCGAGGAUGGGGCGGUGGAGACUUGGAACGGGGGAAACCCCUGGUCGAUUUCGCGUCGACCUCGACGCCGGCGGCGCUCCGGUGUCGUUCUCCCUCUUGAGGGCGGGUCGAGCUUCCAGAUCCGUCCCUCCUCCUCCUCCUCCCUUCCCCGGGCGAAAGCUUGGCCUUUUUGGCCGGACAGUGGAGGCGUUCUGGCGUCUCGGCCCUUCCUGGAGGCGCCGUUCAAGGGGUGGUUGGGGGUUGUGGACCUGGUGCGUGGUGGUGGGUGGCGGUGGUGGUACUCGGUUCCCCUGGUUGCCGACGUUGGUGGUGACGUGUAGGUUCUUCCGCAUCCUUCAGCGGCUCCUCACUUUGUUUGCUGGUUGGUCGCCGGCUGGCAGUGGGUGUCCGUGUGUUUGGCACGGUCUGGAAGAAGGGGAGAUAGUGGUCUCUCCUCCGGCAGUGGCCCGAGGCGGCGGCCGGUGCAGUCGAUGGUUUCCUUCACGCGGUCUGGAUCUUCAUGUUCACGGCUUUUGCUGUCGCCGGGUGGCUUCGGCCCUGCCGUUCUAGCUGUGCAAGAUCUCCGGCGGCUUGAUCGCAGUAUUUCUUGCUGCCUUAUUCUCUGUUGCUCUUGGUUGUAGUGAAUUUGGCAUGUCUUUUUCAGUUUUUGUCAAGUCUUUGCCUUUGUAAUUCAGCACCAUUGUAUCCUAGCCGGUUGAUGGCUUCAUUAAUUUGAAGUCGGGUCUUUGUGCCUUUUCUCUAAAAAAAAGUUUACAUAUACUAUUUGAUGUUUUGGCUAUGCAUUGGGCCGGCUAUAUAUGGCCCAUCUGGCCUUGCUUUAGCUCCACUAGUGGUCAAGACUAUAAGAAAACGCACCAUGAAAAAUAUUAUAACAAUUUUUCUCUUACUCAAUUCGCGACAAGAAAAAUCUCUCUAUGAUAGUGCUACACAACAUAUGAGAGACCAUAAUAAUCUCUCACCCAUCCCAUGGUGCUGGCAGGGUCAACUCUAUAAUUUUGAGAGCCCUUGUGUGAAAUUGGCAAAUUGAUAGUCUUUUUUUUCUUUUAUUGUGCAUGAAAACUCCUUUUAAGCAACAUUAUAGUAACCCUAAAACUGACAAGGAAAGAAAAUACAUAAGUAGAAUUUUAGAAAUCAGAGCGCUAACAUUUAACAUGCUUCAGCGAAUGGGUGGCUCUGGUAAUAUGGAUAUGGAUACGAGGAAUGAGAGGCCUAGAGAGUGAUAAGCUCAUGCUUCGUUGUCACAGACGCCCGAGGAGGCGAGACACCCACGUCGUCAAGCUUCGAGACAAACCUGUGAAGAUGAAGAUCACGAAUUACAAUUAGGAGAACUAGUGAUGCCAUGUGUCCGUGUUGCACACCGAUUAUGAUUCUUUUCCCUUUUAUGGACCAGUCAACCAACGGCUAAAGGCCUAAAGCUUCUUGAAGAGCGUGUAUACCUCAAUUUUAGGAGAGCUCCUUCUCACCGCUUAUAGUGCUCUUUCUUUUUUUUGCGAAAACACUUGUAUUACUCAACUCAUAAUGUCUUUACAAUCAUCAAGGGAAAUACCCAAGACCUCAUCUGGCCCAGAUCCCAGCCAGGUCAUAGUCCGCCCUCUACUCGAGCAAAUCUAGCCAAACUAUCACUAGCUUUAUUAUGGGCUCUCAAAACAUGAGUAAUACAAGUUCGUCUCAAAGGAAGCAGCAACCUUAUUUCAUUAACCAACGAGGCAUAGACUGAACGAUCAACUUCGCCGGAGCUUAUCAUGGAGACGGCCAAGCUUGAGUCUGACUCAAUGACAAUGGGCAGUUCUGAACUCUGUAUGGCGAGCGAAACGCCCUCCAUGAUAGCACAUAAUUCAGCUUCAACAACGUCUCUACAGGAAUAUAACACCCUGCAGCUUGACAAAAUAAUCACACCCCUGGAGUCUCGAAGAAUCAUACCAGCGCCCGCUUUAUCAUCCGUUACAAACGAUCCAUCUGUAUUCAAUUUCACCCAGCCAACAUCCGGUGGCUUCCACCUACAUUCAGGGUCCGUUCGCUGAUGUUGCACCUGUACGGAAGACAUAUGAUCCAAGGAAACGAAUCCCUUGCCUUUAGCCGGGUCCAUUCCUGGAUUUUGUUUGAUCCCAAUCAACUCUUCCAAAUACCUUUUCAGAAAACUAACAGAGACAUCCAUAGCGGGAGCUGGUUUAAAGUGCACUACUUCAUUUCGAACAUACCAACUUCUCCAUAGUGCUCAUUAGUGCCGUAGCGCACAAGAGCCCGCGCGCAUGUGUCAUCCCAUUAAAAGGCAAAGCGGUUGCUCACCUGGCCACCCACUACACUCUUUUUUCGCCAGCCUUUUUUUUCCUGGAAUUGCUCUGUUAUUCAAUGAAAAAAUGCCACCGGUUUUCUAAAUUUAAAAAUUCAUGAAUAUGAAAUAUUUCACAAAUUUGAAAAACAAUUAUGGUUUGAAGAGAAUGAAUGCAAAAACAUUGAAAAUUUUGAAAAAAAUCACAAAUUCAUUUUUUGUGAAUUCGAAAAAAGUUGAUUCAAAAAAGUUUGUGAAAUUUGAAAAAAAAAUCUCAUGAAUAUGAAAAAAUGGUCAAAAUUUGAAAAAAUAUGGUAGAGAAGUUUAACAUUCAAAUAAUCAGAAAAAGAGAAAAAAGGCGGAAGAGUAAAAAAGAAAAAUCAGGCCGAAAGUUUCCAUAGCCAAAGUUGGCCCAUAAGCUUCUGGAAGCUUCCUAAAAUCGAGAGGAGGGAGCUUCCGCUCAUGUGAAUGCCAUAGAUUGGGCAGCCCUUUUACAAUCUAUUGAAGGAAGAGAUGUGUGCGCUUUCUGCCAAUAACUUGGAAACCAAUGCUAAAUAGCAUAUUUCCACUUUUAGCGUGGCAUAGAACGGAAUUCAACUAUAGAUCCACGAUAUGGGCAAAUCCCAACAUUUUUUCUAACAAGCUACUUUUUUCUAUAGGGGCAGAUGUCUCACUCUAACUACGAGUAGGAUUUUUUUGUUCUUAUUUUCACAUUUUUCUUUUCAUUUUUCCUAAUUUUCUAUUAAACGCUCUAUAACAUAUAUGGGUGAUCAUAUAGCUUAAUAAGUGUUCAUGUACUUUAAAAAAUUUCAUCACGUAUUUAUAAAACGUUUUCAAAUAUGAAACAUUUUUAAAAUACACAUACAAUUACAGAAGUGUUCAUAUUUUUCUGAAAAUAUACACUAUGAACAUUUUGAACAAUACGGAUGAAGAUUUAUUUUAAUACAUGAUGAACCUUUGAAAUCACAACAUUUUCUAAAAAUACACAAUGAUUUUUAUAUACACAAUAAAUAUGUUUUUCAUACACGAUGAACAAUUUGUAAAAACAUGAGUGAACAUUGCCAAACUCCGAUGAGGGAGGGGCGAUGAUGGUAGUACGCCUCCGGCUUGCUCGAGUGAUUGUAAACAUUGCUAGGUGGUCUACGGACCUAGACAUAAGUUGUAUUACCUCUGGUGUUCUUGUACUGACAUAAUGGUUGAUAAGUAAAUUGGAUUUUUUUUCAUAAUUUUAUUCAGAAAAAUGUUCAACAUGUCUUACAAAUUGUUCCAGAGAUUAAGAAAAAUAUAUUCGCAUUUUUCAAAAAGAACUGUACAUUUCAAUUUUUUCACAUGUUUAGAAUAUUGUUCAUGAAUUAUAAAAAAAUGUGUUAUUACAUUUUUGGACAGAUGUUUGUGGUAUAUAAAAAUUGUUCAUCAUGUAUUUAUAAAACAAUCAAACUUGUAUUAAAAAAAUAUUCUAUGUGUAUCUAAAAAUGUUUAUUAUUUUUAAUAAUUUCAAUGUGUAUUUGGAAAAUUGGAAAAAAAAAUGAAACAAUGAACAGGAAAAGUAAAGAGAAACCAAAAAUGAAAAACCUAAACAAACCCAAUAAACAAGAGAAAUAAAAAAACCAGACAAGAGGUUAUGAAAUCACAAGCAACAAACAAAUGCUAUAGACCUCCACCACUACUAGGCCACAGCCCACACCGCAUCGCCAAAGGUGAGCGCCUCGCAGUAGACAGAGACAUAGCAUUUGCGCAAAAUGACUACACACGUUGAACAAACUGUCCGCUUUCAUGCACUUUGGGUGGAGCUUAUCAUGGAGUGUGUAUCUUCAGUAAGCUAUAUGGUCCGGUUCAAUAAUACAGAAACUGAAGAAUUUGCUCCCACGAGAGGGCUCAGACAGGGUGGCCCAUUAUCACCUUAUUUAUUUCUCUUGUGCUCUGAGGGUCUUUCAAGCUUAUUAGCUCAUGAACAGGAAAUUGGAGGAGUGGAAGGGGUCCGUGUUUGUAGAAAUGCCCCCCUAUCUCACAUUUACUGUUUGCAGAUGACUCCUUGAUCCUAAUGAAGGCGGACUCACAUAAUGCAAGUACACUCAAAAGUGUUCUUGACACAUAUUGUGCUAGUUCUGGGCAACUAGUUAGUAAUGCUAAAUUGAGUAUAUUUUUUAGUCCUAAUACUAAUGUCAAUACCAGGGAGAAUGUGUGUAGAGAUUUAAAUAUUGAGACAGAAGCUCUAUCUGACACAUACUUAGGUCUCCCUACAAUGGUGGGAGUCGACAGAACUGACUGUUUCCAGCACUUGAUCGAUAGAGUUUGCCAGAGGUUGAAGGGAUGGAAGGAGAAGACACUCUCGAUGCAAGGUAAAGAGGUACUGGUAAAGUCGGUAGCCCAAGCAAUACCUUCUUAUGCAAUGUCAGUUUUUAAAUUGCCUAAAGGAAUUUGUAAGUCUAUCACCGAUGAAAUUGUUGGGUUCUGGUGGGGUGAGAAUGCGGAGAAAAACAAAAUGCAUUGGUUUGCAUGGUGGAGGUUGUGUAUUCCGAAGAAGGAAGGGGGUUGGGUUUUAGAGACUUGCACAGUUUUAAUCUUGCUAUGUUAGCAAAACAGUGUUGGCAACUAAUCCAAAAUCCGGAUUCUUUGUGUGCGCAAGUUCUGAGGGCAAAAUAUUACCCAGAUGGCGACAUAUUGAAAGCUGGACCAAAAAAGGGCUCUUCUUAUACUUGGCAGAGUAUUGUCGCAGGUAUUCAGACAUUUAAGUGGGGUUGUAUUUGGUGUGUUGGAAGUGGAUCUCAAAUUGAUAUCUGGCAUGAUCCAUGGAUUCCAUCAAGUGUCACAAGGAAAGUAAUCACGAAUAGGGGUGCAACAAUACUUUCAAAGGUUGAUGAGUUAAUAAAUCCGUACACAGGCCAGUGGGAUGAGGAUCUAAUUUGUGAUGUUUUCUCUCCUGUCGAUGUUCAUAGGAUAUUACAAAUCCCCUUGAAUUAUCACUUGACAGAAGACUUUGUGGCUUGGAACUAUACAUGAUCAGGCACGUUUUCCGUGCGAUCGGCUUAUCAUAAGGAGUUUGAACAUCAACAAGGGGCACAGUGGGUGCGAGCUGAUGGGCAAGGCACAGAAAAUAUAAAUCCAGUUUGGAAGGAUAUGUGGAAGCUGAAAAUACCAGGGAAGAUAAAACAUUUUGCAUGAAAAGUUUUGCAUGGCGCCCUCCCAUGCUUUGGUGUAUUAGCAAGCCAACAAAUCCCAUGCUCAUCUCAAUGUCCAAUUUGUUUAGUGGGAGCAGAAGACAUUCAACACUGCUUAUUUAAGUGCCGACGAGCGACGGAUGUUUGGGAGCGGCUGGGCUUGCUACAAGUCAUACGGAAAGCUGUGGCCGAGGACAGAUCAGGAUCUAUUACGAUGGAAAUUUUAUCAAAGCUUCAGGGCAAUGAUGCGGAGGUACCAACGGCGGAGCUUACUGUUGUAGCAGCAUGGUAUAUAUGGUGGCAGCGCCGACAGAUAGUAAAGAGAGUCAAAGUCCAAACGCCGGAAAAAACUGCGCUAGCCAUCAAGAUUUUGGCGACAAAUUACCUCAGGUCAGAUAUACCCAAAGGACCAAUAAGGAAGAAUGACCACAUGUGGAGGAAACCAGGAUAUGGGAUCGUGAAGAUAAAUGUUGAUGCUUCCUUUCAGUAUGAAACACUUUCAGGUGCUUGUGGUGCUGCGGCUCGGGACGACCGGGAUGAUUUUAUUGCUGCAGCAAGUUGGUUUGUUCCAAACAUCAGUGGAGUUGACUCAGCUGAGCUAACUGCUAUCAGAAACGGGAUAUACUUGGCAACUCACAUUGGAUGCAACAACAUAGAAAUUGAAUCAGAUUGUUCCUUCGCAGUGGACUCGCUGAACCAAGUUGAUGAUUAUUUAGGCCUGGAGGUAGCUAUCAUCACAAAGUGUAAACAACUUAUGAUGGACUUUGCGUCCAUAUCCUUCAGACAUUGCUAUAGAGAGGCCAAUCAGGUGGCAGAUGAAUUAGCAAAGAACUCUUUUACUACUGGAUCCUCUAGUUCUUGGGAUGAUGAGAUCCCUGAUUUUAUUUCUCAUCUGCUUGUAAAUGACAUGUCUAUUAUUUGAGAAAUAAAGUCUAUUUGCAGUUCAAAAAAAAACUGCCCGCUAGCUAGUUAUUAGAAAGGCAUGUAACUUAAUUCAAACUCAACAAAAUUAUAGGUACAAUGCUUUGGAUCAUAGAUACAAGAAAUUACAAAAUAACUCAUAUAACUAAGAAUUACAAUAAAACCCUCUUGAAUCAAAAUAUGAUAAACAGAGGAAAAAAAUUAGCACAUAUAAUCCUUACUCUAUCCAAAUAUAUGGCGGUGCUAAACUGAGCAGCCCCAUUAGUUUUGGAGCUCCGGCUCCAUGGAGUCCUUUUUGGAAAAUCAUACAUGCAUAACUAAACACCCGCAUGCAUGAGGCUGGAGAAUCAGGGCCAUGCAACAUCAAUAUAGGUUAAUUUGUCGGAGAGUUGUAAGAUUUAAUAAUUUAAGACAAUACGCAUAAUAAAAUCCCCACUAGUGAAGUGUCAAAAACCCUCUUAUAUUGUGGGACACAGGGAGUACAAUUUUAAAACUGUGCCCAGUAUACCGGACCAGAGGGAGAGCUUGAGAAAACACUGAGUCAGAAAAAACUUACUAAGCAGACCAUGGAGCCUUAGAGCAUCUCCAGUCGUGCCCCAGAACGGCCUCCCAAGGCGAUUUUUUUGCGCCGGUGCCAAAAAACGGUCCACUCGCGUCCUCAGGAGCCCGUUUUUCACUGACUUGGGCCGAAAUCAGCGUAGGCGGACCCAGGCCGAACCCGAUGCGUCUUGGGGGGGGGGCGCCCGGGGGCGCCGGGGCGAGUGUUUUGGCGCAAACAGCCGCGGGCCCGCCGAGUCAGCGAGACGGCCGCUUCGUCGACCUCAUCGCCUCGGUUCCCGCGGGAAUCAAUACAAAGGUUGUCGCGCCGGUCAGCCUUCAUUUGAUGCCUCACGGGCGACGGAGUGAAGACACCGCCGACGCGGGUCCCGCCCGCAUGCCGCCGCCCCGCCACCCCGCUUCGGCUAUAAAAGGCGCCCCCUUCCCGCCGGUGAGCGCAAUAGCCUCCCCCACUCCCUCCCGCGAAAGCCUUCUCCCCGCCGGCGAGCUCUCACGCCACUUCCCCCUGCCCGCCGACGAGCGAAACCAUGACGGAGAGAUACCCAGGCAACGGCGCAGCGGCAAAUGGCUUCGGCCGCCGGCACCUCCAGGAGCUGGAGGCGCGCCUUCUGUACGAGGCCGAGUACCCGGCGCCCCCCGACAUGCGCGUGUCGGGUUCGUGGAGGCUGAGCGUCGGAGGCGUCCCGGUGCCGCCGGUGCCCAAAGGGGCGGCAUGGCGGGCGGAGAUCGCCCGCAUCCACUCGUCGCUGACAGAGGAGCAGAGGAACGAGCCGAGGUACGCGCCCGAUAGCGAAACGCUGUGGACGUUGUACUUCGAGUGCCACCGCGAGGAGCAGAUCGCCUCCGUCAACGGCAUCAUCUCCCACGGCCGCCUCAACUCUGAAGGACGGCGUGAGUGGUGGGGCGUCCCCGACCGCACACUCGACGCCGUCGUCGACCACAUCGAGACUGACAAUGUGCCGCGGCUAGAGUACCCGGCGCGACCCUCCUUCUCUCGCCGCCGUGGCAGUUCCUGGAUGUCGCGGCGAAUGGAGCCGGGGUCGUCCUCGUCGUCGGGCUCCGGCUCGCCGACCCUCCGCCCCGCCAAGCCUGAGCCGGAGGGGGCACCGCUCGGGCGCCGCGCUCGCAGCAGCGCCCUCGUCAUCAACGAGCCCUCGCCUGCGGCGGCGCCGGCAAGGCGCUCCCUCCGCCUGGUCCGGCCGAAGCCCGAGCCGGAGAUGCUCCCCGUGAAGCCGGAGCACGCUGGCAUGGUGGCCCCCGACGACAAGUCCGCCCUCAAAUGGGUGAGGGAGGACUACGUCCGCGAACAGAUGCGCCACCAGCGUCGGGCGUACCUGGACACCCAGGCCAGUAGCCGCGCCGAGGCCCGUCGCCGCACCGAGGAGGGCGGCGUCAUCGUCAUCGACAGCGACGACGAGGACGAGGCUGGGCCGUCAAGCGCUGUCGGCGACCACGGCGAGGGAUGCAGCAGGGACGCUGCAGGCGAGGUGCGCGACGACGACGACGACGACGGCAGCGGCGGUGGCUACACCCACUUCUACAGGCUUCUCGGCAUAUAGACGGCGACUGUGGCGGCAGCGGCUAGGCUUUUUAGUUCGUUUUUAAGUUAGUUCAUGCAUGUUUUUAAGUUUUUGUACAAAUUUCGACAAAAAAAGGCCGAGUUCAUGCAAAAGUCGCCGAGGUUGCAAAAAAAUUAAAACGAGCUUCGCCGAACCCGCAGCGACCGUGGGCCUGUGACUGAGAGCGAACCGAACCCCAGGGGGCGAUCUAGCGCUGGCUCGCCCCCAUGCCGGUCUUUUGCAGCACCCUGGGGGCCGAACGGCUGGAGAUGCUCUUAGGGCUUCCAACAGGCUCCAGCGAGUUCCUUUCCAGAGAACUUUGUUUCUUGUAUCUCCACGUGGUGAAGCUCACGCACGAGGUGGCUGCACGAUCGGGUCAGUUCCUUUCCGGAGACCUUUCCUUUCCAUUGUGAAUUGAACUGAAGCGAUUGCUUUUUUACUUUGUAUUGCAUUGCACAAAGGUGUACACAUGCUUGAGGUUGCAUGCUUGAUCUGGAGACUCCCCCUCCUCCUCCCCCUCCCUCCCCCGUGCGGCAGCGCCGCCCCGCACCGGGGAGCCCCUGCCCUCCUCCUACAGCCGCGCCUCACCUCUGCUCCCCUCCGCCGUCGUCGCCCGGGGCGUCACAGGGCAAAGCCCUUAUGGCGUGGCGGCGACGGCGGUUUUCUCCUUGGAUCUUGAUCUGGUUGGGAGGCGGCGCUCCUUUCCGGCCAGAUCGGCGGCGGUGGCGCAGAUCGGCGGCGACACGGAUGUGGUACGGUGGCGGUGGAGGACGGCACCAGCAACGGCGGAUCUGGCCUUGACUCAGUCGGGCUAAUUCGUUGUGCUACCGAUCUUAAUCACCGUCUGCGGUGCACUGCUCCUCGACUUGAUCUGCAACACGAGGAUGUCUGGGGCGCCGACCCUAGGCUUGGUGGUGGUGGCCUUCUUCUUCAUCGGAGUUGGUCGGUCGGUUGGCUGUGCUUGCAUGGUCAUGGCGGCGGAGGUCGCAGUGGCUAGUGGCUUAGCCGGUCAGCGGCGACGGAACAUGGCCGGUGGCAGCGGCAAUGUUCUGUCUGGAUCCCCGGGUAGUGGCCCUGGAUGGUGGCGGCCGGUGAAGCUAGGGCUUCCCGCGGCGGCAUGGUGUGGUGCAGUCCCUGUCCAAGGCAGAUCUGUGACGGCGAUCUGAUCUACGGAUUGGUUCGGAUCAGAGACGGUGACGAGCACGGGAUCCAUCUCGGAGGCUCCCGCGGCUUAGCGAGGCGGGGUAGGAGCCCUCCUCCUAGGCUCUAGUGGUGGCACACUUAGGCAGUGGCCGGUGCGCUAGGGCUCCUACGGCGGCACUGUUGUUGCGGUUGGUCGCCGGAUCUAGGCGGCUAGAUCUAGGGUUCUGAGGGCGGUCGAGACGAUGCACAGGUUGUCAGGUGGACUACUUGUGAUGGAUCCGGGUGAAAACCUGGUCUUCAGUCGAUGGUCGGAGCCGGUGAUGACGAUGCCCUUAUCAUUGUUUUCUUCAUGAAGGCAUCAUCGAGGUGAAGCUCCCAGCUCCACUCAAUACCUCCGGGGAAACCCUAGAUCAGCUGAUUGGAUGUUGGCAGCAAUCAUGUGUCGUUACCCCCUUGGGGGCGGCAUUCUUGGAGGUGCACUCGUUCUUGCGGGACCAGCGGACGGCUUCUUUGGUGGAGCGGUGCUUCAUCCUGCACAUUGAUGGCGACGGAUCUCGGCGACGUGGCGCAGUGCAGAUUCGGCGUUCGAUGUGUUAGGAUGGACUCACGCAGGAGGACAACGUUGUCUGGCGUCGUGGUGGCGUCGAUGGCAGAGAGACCUGGCACGGUAGAUGCAACAGUACAACUCUAAAGAUGGACUGGUGGCAGGUGGCUGCGGCGGCUCAUACCCGGCAGGCGUCCUGGUUGAGGAAUGCGCCGGACUUGUAGGUGCCCCAUAUCCGGCAGGCGUCCUGCUUGGGACCGCAGGUCUUAGAUGUUUAGGUUUGACUGCGAGGUCUGUUUGGUAUUAGGUCCAGACUAUCAGCAUCCUUUCAUCAACUGGAUAGGAGUAGCGACAGAUAUUGCCUAGACGGUGGCUUUAGUCUUACUGUUGUAUGACUUUGUAAGGUCUUGUGUGAAUAAUUAAUAAAAUGAUUGCAUGCAUCGUCCAGAUGCAGAGGCCGGGGGCCCUCCUCCAUUUCUAAAAAAACAAAGAUGUACACUGUCUAUCUUAAUUUCUAAAUGAUGGCCGGUCACAUGGACGUGUGAGCAGGGGAUUGACAAGGCAACUAGCAGAAUUCUAUUACUACGAGGAGGCAACUGAUAAAGUAAAAAUAUUGUUACUCACCCUACUAUCAUCAGAUGGAGACACGCACGCAGAAUCCACUGGACAAGGCGACUAACAUAAUUCUAUUACCACGAGGAUGCAACUAAUAGAGUAAAAAUAUUGUUACUCACACGUACUACCACCACAAAAGACACACACGCAGAAUCCAGCUGUACUUAUUAACACGUCUAGCUACCUACGUGUGGUUUCUUCAUUUGUAAUCAACUAAUCAACCAAUAUAACUCCACCGACAUGUUAUACAGUACUACUUGUCACUCCAGCUAGGUAACUGCAAUGCUAAUUAAUGCAGCCUCCAGAUCUGGUUUGUUUCACCCAGCCUAUAAAACCACACAAUAUGUACCUUCAGUUCUCACACAACACACACACACAAAGCACAGCAGGUGCAACACUAACUGCAAGCACAAGAAGUAGGCAGCAAUGACGAAGCAUCGCCUCCUCGCCGUGCUCCUCAUCGGGAUAGUUGCAGCCUCCUCUUUCAACCAAGCAGCUACGGCUGGCCGAGGCCUUGCUGUUGUUGAGAAGUUCGCAGAGCUAGAGCCAAAGCCAGAACCCAAACCAGAGCCAAUGCCCAAACCUAUGCCACACCCAGAGUCAGAGCCCUGCAAACCUGAACCGCUGCCCAAACCCGAACCAAAGCCUGGACAGAAACCUGAACCAGAACCCAAGCCCAAGCCGAUGCCAAAACCAAAGCCAAAGCCCAAGCCCUGCUCCAAACCGAAGCCCGAUCCUAAGCCCGAGCCAAUGCCGAAACCCGAACCAAAGCCGGAGCCCAAGCCUAAUGAACCGAAACCGAAGCCGCCUCCUAAGUGCAAACCACCGACAGCUCACAACUAAUGGGAUACUUGUAUAUGACAGUUGAUGGAGGAGACCCCAUACGGAGCCACACUGUGCUAUUUCUAGAAUACGUGGUGUAGUAUUCCCUGUAUUCCAUUUAUUUGUAUUGUUCCAUGCAUGUGUGAUGAGUAUUAGUACUCUGUACUUAUUAUUUGCUUGUUGGUAUAUGUUCAUCUACUUUGUAUGUGACUUGACUCGUUGUUCUUUUGAGUAUCUACGCAUGAUGGUAUUCAUUUUCAUGAAUGAGCUAUUUUGUCAGUGAUCUGCAGUCUAUGUUGUUUUCUCUAUGGCGUGCAGUCUCAGUUAUUUUCUCUAUAGGAUUGUUUCAUUAUUAUGUGGUCUUUUUUGGCGGAAAAGAUGAUGUCAACAAAAGGGAAGAGAAGGCCUCCUAAAUAGCAGCACACAUAUGAAGUGUAUAGUGUGCACGUACGUGUCUGGUGUUCUAGGUGUCUAAAGUGUACUCAUACGCCAGACAGCGGUUUUGUUCUCUACCCUUCGCCUAUGAACUAAGUCCCGACCAGGUGCGUUAGUAUUUAUACCCAGGCUCUACGAGUGAGCUGGCUCCGUUGCUAGUUAUUCUAGGUAAACGUCACACACAUUGCUACGGAAAUUUAAAGCAAUGAAAUUAUAAAAAAUAGCAUAUAUGUGAAUAAUACCAUACAACAUUCUCAACGUAUGACAAUAGAAAACCUAGAUGUAACUGGAGGGUGGAUGCAUGUUAUAUUGUCUUGUGACCUUCAAGUUUAAUUAUUUGUUGUUGAAAGAUAAUAAAUAGUAAAAAUAAUGAGGUGAAGAGCUUGCGUGUGUUUCCUGAUGUGGAGGGCUUGCAUAUGAUGGAAAGUGAAAAGUUGAAUGAUUACAUGCACCCCUGAUGAUGUGGAGGACUUGCAUGUGAUGAAAAAUGGUAAGUGAAAGUUGAUUGGUUGCAUGUCCUUCAUGAUGUGAUUAAUUUUCACGUGCAUUUAAAUUUGAUGACUUACUUAGAUAUAUAGGAUAUAUGUGUGAAAGGUAACUGCACCCCCCCCCCUCUGGUAUACACUCCCUCCGUUCCAAAAUAGAUGACUCAACUUUGUACUAACUUUAGUACAAAAGUAGUACAAAGUUGAGUCAUCUAUUUUGGAACGGAGGGAGUAUGUGUGAAAGGUAAUUGCACCCCCUGGUCAAGAGAUUAGUGGCGGAACUACCCGCAAAAUAUUGGGCAGGCCGAGGCGGCCCAUCCUGAAGGAAAACACAUUUUUAUCUCUCAAACACUAGUAGAAAAGGGGGCAUUGGUCCAGGCCGGGUCAGCGCUUUAGUCCCGGUUCAAUCCAGAACCGGGACCAAUGGGGGCAUUGGACCCGGUUCGUGAGCCCCGGGGGCCGGCCGGGCCACGUGGGCCAUUGGUCCCGGUUCAUCUGGACCUUUUGGUCCCGGUUGGUGGGACGAACCGGGACCAAUGUGCCUUGCUCCUGGCCCACCACCACUGGUCCCGGUUGGUGGCAUGAACCGGGACCAAAGGCUUCCCUUUCGUCCCGGUUCAAGCCACGAACCGGGACCAAUUAAUUGCCUAUAUAUACCCCUCGCCCGCGAGCAGAGCACUCUCACUGCUCUGUUUUUCGUGGACGGCGAGGAGAGAGCUUUGUGGUGCUCUAGCUCACCUCCUAUGCACACGAGGUGUUUGAUGGAAUGCCCGAGGCACACUACUUAAGCUUUCUCCUCUCCAAGCUCGACCUCCAAGCUCCAUUUUCCUCAAUAUUUGUCUACGUUUAGCGGUCCGUCACGUCCCGUCCCCGUCUUCACCGUCGUCGAUCGCCCGCGCUGAUCUCGUCGCCGGCACCACCGUGGUGAGCCUCUUGUUCUUAUCUUCUUUCUGAAAGGAAAAAAAAUUCUUACUUGUAUGUUUAUAUAGAUACUUGUAUAAUUUUCUUACUUUUAUUAUUGCAUCUUAUAUAGUGCGAUGGUUUUGGUAUCCGCCCCCGUCGGUCCUCAUCCUGUCUAUGAUUCGGAUGUGGUAUAUAUUAUCUUUUCAUAACUAUUGGUUCAUCUAUUGUUUAUGACAAUUAUGCCGACCAACGUGACAUAGAUUUUAUUUAUCUAGGAGGUUGUUGAACCGGAAAUUCCAACCGACCCUAUUGUCGAGAGGUUAAAUUUAGUUGAAGAAGAAAACAGUUUCUUGAAGGAAAAAAUAGAAAAAUUGAGGAGGAGAAGAUGAUAUUGGAGUUGCAUGUUGCGGAUGUCGUGGAUGAUCACAAGAUCAAGAUGGAUGCAAUGCGCUUGAAGAUUAGAAAAAUUAGAAAAUAUGCCAUUCAUACCGAGGCUUGGUAUCAUUAUGCCGUUGGAUCAGUUGUUACAUUGGUUGCGAUUAUGAUUGCAUUUGUUUUCGCAUUGAAAUGUUUUACAUAGUUUCAAUGUAUGGUUUAAUUAAUUUACAUGCUCUGCAGAGCUUUAUGUUGUUAGAUGAGAACUAUGUAUGUACUUUGGUUUUAAUGUGAUGAUGAACUUCUAUUAAUUUGGUCACUUAAUUAUCUAUUCAUGAUGUUCUGUAAUGAUUUUUGACACACUUGAUUAUAUAUAAUGCACGCAGAUGAACCGGCAAUGGAUGUACGGUUCAAGACACACCUCCGAGUACAUUAAGGGCGUGCAUGAAUUUCUCGAAGUGGCUGAGGCAAACAAGCAGAAUGGUUUUAUGUGUUGUCCAUGCCCUAUAUGUGGAAAUACAAAGUCUUACUCUGACCGGAAAAUCCUUCACACCCACCUGCUUUACAAGGGUUUCAUGCCACAUUAUAAUGUUUGGACGAGGCACGGAGAAAUAGGGGUUAUGAUGGAGGACGGUGAAGAAGAAAAGUACGAUGACAACUAUGUGCCCCCUGAAUACGUGAUGCUACUGAAGAUCAAGAGGAACCAGACGAUGUGCACGAUGAUGCUGCAACAGGCGAAGCUGCUAAAGAUCAAGAGGAACCAGACGAUGUGCCCGAUGAUGAUGAUCUCCGCCGGGUCAUUGUCGAUGCAAGGACGCAAUGCGAAAGUCAAAAGGAGAAGCUGAAGUUCGAUCGCAUGUUAGAGGACCACAAAAAAGGGUUGUACCCCAAUUACGAAGAUGGCAACACAAAGCUCGGUACCGUACUGGAAUUUCUGCAGUGGAAGGCAGAGAAUUUUGUGCCUGACAAAGGAUUUGAGAAGCUACUGAAAAUAUUGAAGAAGAAGCUUCCAAAGGAUAACGAAUUGCCCGACAGUACAUACGCAGCAAAGAAGGUCGUAUGCCCUCUAGGAUUGGAGGUGCAGAAGAUACAUGCAUGCCCUAAUGACUGCAUCCUCUACCGCGGUGCGUACAAGGAUCUGAACGCAUGCCCGGUAUGUGGUGCAUUACGGUAUAAGAUCAAGCGAGAUGACCCUGGUGAUGUUGACGGCGAGCCCCCCAGGAAGAGGGUUCCUGCGAAGGUGAUGUGGUAUGCUCCUAUAAUACCACGGUUGAAAUAUCUGUUCAGAAACGGAGAGCAUGCCAAGUUGAUGUGAUGGCACAGUGAGGACCGUAAGAAAGACAGGAAGUUGAGAGCACCCGCUAACGGGUCGCAGUGGAGAAAAAAUCGAGAGAAAGUACUGGGAUGAGUUUGCAAGUGACCCAAGGAACGUAUGGUUUGCUUUAAGUGCGGAUGGCAUUAAUCCUUUCGGGGAGCAGAGCAGCAAUCACAACACCUGGCCCGUGACUCUAUGUAUGUAUAACCUUCCUCCUUGGAUGUGCAUGAAGCGGAAGUUCAUUAUGAUGCCAAUUCUCAUCCAAGGCCCUAAGCAACCCGGCAACGACAUUGAUGUGUACCUAAGGCCAUUAGUUGAAGAAUUUUUACAGCUGUGGAAUGGAAACGGUGUACGUACGUGGGAUGAGCACAAACAGGAGGAAUUUCACCUAAAGGCGUUGCUGUUCGUGACCAUCAACGAUUGGCCCGCUCUCAGUAACCUUUCAGGACAGACAAACAAGGGAUACCACGCAUGCACGCACUGUUUACUUAACACCGAUAGUAUAUACCUAGGAAGCUGCAGGAAGAAUGUGUACCUGGGCCAUCGUCGAUUUCUUCCGACCAACCAUCAAUGUCGAAAGAAAGGCAAGCAUUUCAAAGGCGAGGCAGAUUACCGGAGGAAGCCCGCCAUGCGUACCAGUGUCACGUACUUGCUAUGGUCAAUGAUUUACACGUAAUCUUUGGAAGGGGUCCCGACGGACUAGCUGUUCCGAGUGACGCUGGGGGACACGCACCCAUGUGGAAGAAGAAAUCUAUAUUUUGGGACCUACCCUACUGGAAAGACCUAGAGGUCCGCUCUUCGAUCGACGUGAUGCACGUGACGAAGAACCUUUGCGUGAACCUGCUAGGCUUCUUGGGCGUGUAUGGGAAGACAAAAGAUACAGCUGAGGCACGGGAGGACCUGCAACGUUUGCACGAAAAAGACGGCAUGCCUCCAAAGCAGUAUGAAGACCCUGCCAGCUAUGCUCUUACCAAAGAAGAGAAGGAAAUCUUCUUUGAAUGUCUGCUUAGUAUGAAGGUCCCGACUGGCUUCUCGUCGAAUAUAAAAGGAAUAAUAAAUAUGUCAGAGAAAAAGUUUCAGAACCUAAAGUCUCAUGACUGCCAUGUGAUUAUGACGCAACUGCUUCCGGUUGCAUUGAGGGGGCUUCUACCGGAAAACGUCCGAUUAGCCAUUGUGAAGCUAUGUGCAUUCCUCAAUGCAAUCUCUCAAAAGGUGAUUGAUCCAGAAAUCAUACCAAGGCUAAGGAGUGAUGUGGUGCAAUGUCUUGUCAGCUUCGAGCCGGUGUUCCCACCAUCCUUCUUCAAUAUCAUGACGCACGUCCUAGUUCAUCUAGUUGACGAGAUUGUCAUUCUGGACCCCGUAUUUCUACACAAUAUGUACCCCUUUGAGAGGUUCAUGGGAGUCCUAAAGAAAUAUGUCCGUAACCGCGCUAGGCCAGAAGGAAGCAUCUCCAUGGGCCAUCAAACAGAGGAUGUCAUCGGGUUUUGUGUUAACUUCAUUCCUGGCCUUAAGAAGAUAGGUCUCCCUCAAUCGCGGUAUGAGGGGAGACUGACUUGAAAAGGCACGCUUGGAAGGGACUCAAUAAUAUGCAGGGACGGAUAUUCUUGGUCUCAAGCACGCUACACAGUUCUAUAGAACUCUACCUUGGUGACCCCGUAUGUCGAUGAACAUAAGAACAGUCUGCGCUCCAAACACCCGGAGCACUGCGACGACUGGAUUACAUGUGAACACAUCAGGACUUUUAGUAGUUGGUUGGAAGCACGUCUCAGAGGUGACAACACUGUUUGUGAUGAGCUGUACUUGUUGUCCAGGGGACCAUCUUCGACUGUUACGAUUUGGAAAGGAUACGAGAUAAAUGGGAAUACAUUUUACACGAUUGACCAAGAUCAAAAGAGCACCAACCAAAACAGCGGUGUCCGCUUUGAUGCAACAACCGAGAGGGGAAAGGACACAUAUUAUGGUUACAUAGUGGACAUAUGGGAACUUGACUACGGACAUGAUUUUAAGGUCCCUUUGUUUAAGUGCAAAUGGGUCAAUCUGUCAGGAGGCGUGGUACAGGUAGACUCACAGUACGGAAUGACAACAGUGGAUCUGAAAAAUCUUGGGUACAGUGAUGAACCGUUCGUCCUAGCCAAUGAUGUGUCACAGGUUAUCUAUGUGAAGGACAUGUCUACCAGACCGAGAAAAAGAAAAGAUAAGGAAGCGAAUACAUCAUACGAUGAGCCAAAGUGCCACAUAGUUCUUUCAGGAAAAAGGGACAUCGUGGGAGUGGAGGGCAAGACAGACAUUUCUGAAGAUUAUAAAAAGUUUCAUGAAAUUCCUCCCUUCAAAGUCAAGGCUGACCCCAGCAUCCUGAUAAGCGAUGAAGAUUAUCCAUGGUUACGGCGCAAUAAGCAAAUGACACAAGCGAAGAAAAAGUGAAGACUUUCUCCCGCAACUAUUAUGAUGAUACCAUGCCAACUUUGUAACACACGAGUAUGAUACCAUUGUCCAUUUUGUACAUGCACAUGCUAUAUAUGUGGGUGAAUUUAUGAUACCAUGCCAACUUUCAACUUUUUCAUAUUUCAUUAGAAACAAAGCAAGAAAAAAACAAAAAAACAAAAAAAAGUGUUUUCAAAUUUGGAAAUUAAUGGCACUAAUAGAAAGUUUAUAAUUUUUCUAAAACUAAAAGCAAAAAGAAUUAAAAAAUAAAGCAAAAAACAAAAGAAAAUAAAUAAUGCAGAAUACAAAACAAAAAAACAAUUAAAAAUAGCAACAAUAAGUAUUUUGUUGUAAGUAGAAACAAAAUAAAAUAAAUAAAGCAAGAAAGAAAACAAAAAAACAAAAAAGUGUUUUCAAAUUUGAAAACUAAUGGCACUAAUAGAAAGUUUAUAAUUUUUCUAAAACUAAAAGCAAAAAGAAUUAAAAAAUAAAGCAAAAAACAAAAGAAAAUAAAUAAUGCAGAAAACAAAACAAAAAAGCUGGAAAAUAAUUAAAAAUAGCAACAAUAAGUAUUUUGUUGUAAGUAGAAACAAAAUAAAAUAAAUAAAGCAAGAAAGAAAACAAAAAAAAUGCCUCCUACUGGGCCCCCACGGCCUGAAUACGACUAGAAACCCUACCAUGGGCCAGGAUUCAGGCCCGCAGUAGGCACAGAAGGCCCAUCAGGCAAAGCAGUAGCAAUUAGGCCCGCAAGCCUACGGUGGAGAGGAGCUCGAGAGGGGUGCUGCAGUGGGGUUUAUAAACCACUGCGCGCCCCUCUCAACUAGCAAGGUGGGACUAAACUUUGGCCCCGACACGGGCAGCACAGGGUCCUUUGGUCCCGGUUGGUGGCACCAACCGGGACUAAAGGGCCUUUAGUCCCGGUUGGUGCCACCAACCGGGACCAAAGGUCGCCGCUUCCCGCCCUUUGGCUGCUGAAAAGAGGCCUUUGGUCCUGGUUGGUGGUACCAACCGGGACUAAAGGGGGCAUUAGUCCCGGUUGGCCUCACGAACCGGGACUAAUGCCCUUGAUAUAUAUACAGCACUUAGGAAAAUUUGACGAACACAUCGCUAGUUGCCCCCGGCCCGCCCGACGACGCCGAGCUCAUCGACGCCGCCAGGCUGCCCAGAUCGACGCCGUCCGCUGCCCCGACGCCGCCCACCGCCCAGACGUUGUCCGCGCGCCGCCCCGACGCCGUCCGCGCGCCCCCGNNNNNNNNNNNNNNNNNNNNNNNNNNNNNNNNNNNNNNNNNNNNNNNNNNNNNNNNNNNNNNNNNNNNNNNNNNNNNNNNNNNNNNNNNNNNNNNNNNNNNNNNNNNNNNNNNNNNNNNNNNNNNNNNNNNNNNNNNNNNNNNNNNNNNNNNNNNNNNNNNNNNNNNNNNNNNNNNNNNNNNNNNNNNNNNNNNNNNNNNNNNNNNNNNNNNNNNNNNNNNNNNNNNNNNNNNNNNNNNNNNNNNNNNNNNNNNNNNNNNNNNNNNNNNNNNNNNNNNNNNNNNNNNNNNNNNNNNNNNNNNNNNNNNNNNNNNNNNNNNNNNNNNNNNNNNNNNNNNNNNNNNNNNNNNNNNNNNNNNNNNNNNNNNNNNNNNNNNNNNNNNNNNNNNNNNNNNNNNNNNNNNNNNNNNNNNNNNNNNNNNNNNNNNNNNNNNNNNNNNNNNNNNNNNNNNNNNNNNNNNNNNNNNNNNNNNNNNNNNNNNNNNNNNNNNNNNNNNNNNNNNNNNNNNNNNNNNNNNNNNNNNNNNNNNNNNNNNNNNNNNNNNNNNNNNNNNNNNNNNNNNNNNNNNNNNNNNNNNNNNNNNNNNNNNNNNNNNNNNNNNNNNNNNNNNNNNNNNNNNNNNNNNNNNNNNNNNNNNNNNNNNNNNNNNNNNNNNNNNNNNNNNNNNNNNNNNNNNNNNNNNNNNNNNNNNNNNNNNNNNNNNNNNNNNNNNNNNNNNNNNNNNNNNNNNNNNNNNNNNNNNNNNNNNNNNNNNNNNNNNNNNNNNNNNNNNNNNNNNNNNNNNNNNNNNNNNNNNNNNNNNNNNNNNNNNNNNNNNNNNNNNNNNNNNNNNNNNNNNNNNNNNNNNNNNAUAUAAUGUUCAUAGCAUUUUUUUUAUUUAUAUAUGUUUUUUCAUAGAUGUAUUAAUUUUUUAUUUAGGUUGUUAGUAGAUAUCGAUUUUAGGUUAGUGCAUUUUAAUUAGGUUAGUGUAGAGGAAAAAGUAAAAUAAGGAAAAGGAAGAAAAGAGGAAGAAGGAAGAAGAAGAAGAAAAAGAAUGAGAGGGAAAAGGAAAAUAAGAAGAGGAAGAAAGGAGAAGAAGAGGAGAGGAAAAGAAGAGGAGAAAUAAAUAAGAAGAAAAAAAAGAAGAAAAAGAAGAGGAGAAGAAGAAAGGAAUAGAGGAGAAGAAGAAAAAAUAGAAAAAAUUCUAAUUUUUUUUUCUUCUCCUCCUCUUUUUUUUCUUCUUUUUUUCUUCGAUCUUCUCCUCUAUUCCUUUCUUCUUCUCCUCUUUUUAUUUCUUCUUUGUUUUCUUAUGUUUUAUCGGGUCUGUCGCCGUCAGGCUGCUCGCCUUCGCCCUCGCCGCCCCCUCGAGAUAACUUCGACAUGAGGGGCGGUCGAUAUAUAUACCCCCUCUCGACCGUGAUAACCUAUACAACGGCAGCACCCCCCUCGGCCCUCUCGCUCGACCAAAACUCUCGAGGCCACCCAAAUUUACCAAGUUAAAAGAGCGUUGUCGUCGAGGCCACCCCUAACCCUUGAAGCGUUGUGUCGAGGCGAUCCCAAACCCUAGAGAAGCAGCGUCGAGGCCACUAACAUGAUUCCUUAUUGUGAUUAGCUAGCUAGUUCUACGUUUGCCACUAAUAUAUAUCCAUCUGUACCAUGUUUGAAUAAUAAUUGACAUGUUGUAAAUAUUUGCAGAAACUAUGGAGCACUACCGAGACGAAGCACUAGAAGCGAUGUUGGGGGAGAUGAUCGCAGAAGGAACUGAUGUCAUUGCGUCAUUUUUCAACGACGUCGUUGGUCAGGAAGGACUGGGUGAAGAAGAGGGCUAUGUUCAUGAUGGCUCCGGCUCAUUAAUGCCGGUACAAGAAGAGGGCUAUGUUCAUGAUGGCUCCGGUGAUGACCCAAUGGAGGUACAAGAAGGAGACCGUGCUGACUACUCCGGUGACUGAACCGAGUCCAGCCAGGUAUAUAUAUAGUAGUUAAGCCCGUGCUGACUAGUUAAUUAAUGCAUUCAUUGUUUUGGUAUAUGUACAUAUAUUAAUUAUUCUCGGCUUUCUUCCUUUUAAUUUCUAGCCCUCCGGAUCGAGCACAACUUCGGUAAGGAGACGAGGCCCGAAGAAAAAGUUGAGCUCGGAUGAAAGGUUUGAGAUCAUAGAAAUCGCGCCCGACGGCGAACCGAUUGAACCCAUCCGGACAAAGAACGCAUUUUCUGCUCAGUGCGGGGUUCUUGUUAGGGACAAGAUCUCAAUCAGCAUCCAGCAAUGGUAUAAGCCUAAGGACGACCCUGAGGUGUCUUAUGUCAAUGAUAUGCAGAAAGAAGGUCUUUGGACUCAGCUGAAGGCAAAUUUCACCCUACCGCCAGAGGAGGAUCCGGAGAAGCCAGUUAAAGAGCAAUUAAUCAAGUCGUCUGCUCUUAAGAAGAUGGCAACCCUAUUCAGGAGGUGGAGGAAAGAGUUGAAUCAUUUUGUCGGAAAAAAAAGACACCAGAAUUCAUCGGCAAAUAUGAGAAGAUCAAAGAUCACUGGCCCGCAUUUGUGGCCCACAAGACAUCGGAAAAGAGUAAGAAGAUGUCGGCGACGAACAAGCAAAAUGCUGCGAAGAAGAAGCUUCACCAUCGCACGGGGUCAGGUGGCUACCUCAAAGCCCGGCCUAAGUGGUCCAAGGAGGAGAAUGAUCUGCUUGAAAAAGGGAUCGAACCAGAGAUAAUGAGAUGGCCAGACUGUUGCCGGACUUGGUUCUUCAGGGCUGGCGGAACCUUGGACCCUGUAUCAGGGAUGUGCCGUUGGACGGACGAGCAACUGGAAAUACCAGUCAAGAACCUUCGACACUAUAUCAAUGCAGCGCAGAAAGGGACGUUCGUACCAGACAGGGAGAAGGACGAGCUCACAAUGGCCCUCGGGAAUCCUGAGCACCCUGGACGGACACGAGGCACGACAGGCUCCAUUCCAUGGAAGGUUGGUUUUCCGGACGCAGGGGGUUACAAAACCCACGAGAGGAGGAAGAAACUGGAGCAGGGCCAACUGCAGGCGCUGCACGAAAGGGUAAUGGGGCUAGAGGAACGAGAAGAGGAACGAGAAGCAGCAGAUCGCAGCAAAUGACCUACCGAAGCUUCCCCCGAAGCUACCCCGCCAUCUCAGCGGAGAAGCGGCGUGGCUUCCAUCGAGCUUCUUCAGCCGGAGCAUGUCUUGACGGCUCCUGCCAGCUAUCCCGUGGAUGCUAUCAUGGAGUCUCAACAUUGCCACAUUAUGGCGCGAUGGAUGAAUUUGAAGGUCAAGGCGGCUGUUGGCUCUGUUUAUCCUAGUGGAUCCGGAGCAACUUAUCACUGCCGGCCGAUUCCAGAAGGAUAUGCUAAGGUGAUGGUGGAUAAAAUAACGGAGGGAUUUGAGGACCUCGUGCUUGACCACCCUACCGGUGAAGGGGAGACUAGGAUGGGUUCUGCUCUGAAGACUCCAUGCCUAUGGCGGAAGGAGCUCAUCAACCUUCCGAACUGGACGCCUCUGCCUCCUCCUCCUCCUCCUCCGGCGAGUCAGGGCACUCCGCCUCCUCCUCCGGCGAGUGACGAUCAGGGAACGCGUGGCGGCACUCCACCUCCUUCUCCGACGCGUGGCGGCACUCCGCCUCCUUCUUCGCCUGUGCCGGCGCUCCCGAGCAGCCAGCAGCCUCCUCCUUCUCCGCCUCGCCAGCAAGGGCGGAAGAGACCCGCCGCCGCCCCGGCUGCUCUGGCGCGUCGUACUCCUUCUCCUCCGCCUCGUAAGCAAGCACGAAAGAAGACAGACACCGCAGCCGCUCCGUCUGCUCCGAUGUCUAGCAGCACAACCAGAGGCGGGAGGCAAUACAGAUACGGUCCACCUCUCAAGCCUCUAGAGAAGUUACCAUACGAGAGGACCGAGGAGGAAAACGAUAGAAUUGGGCGGACCCACGUGAAGGAGUUCUUUGAAGGGGUGAAAGCAAAUAGACAUCCACCUCCGGAGGAGAAGGUAGAUCUGGUGAAAGCAAAGCGCACUAUCGAUACCCUGAGGAAACCACCAAAGUCUCCGCCGAGAACCAACUAUGAGCGCAUUACUGAACAGACAUAUCUCCAAGCCCAGCGGUCGGGAACUACUGUCAGUGCUAAAAGGUUAAAAGAACAAGCAAAGGGGAAAAAAUUGCCCAGCUCGGCGAACAAGCACAGCAAUCGUGCCCCCCUCUCAAUGUGUCUAAUGCUCCGGAGACGGUGGCCGGUUAUGGCAAUCUUGCAGAUUACCUGCCUGACGAUCAACUUCCUGAUUUCUUGGAGGUGGACGAACACAGAUACGAGUACGGGAAGCCUCUCGUCAAAGAUGAAAAAUCUCUGACAACAAUGAUGCGAAGAUUCCAUAAUUGGUACAUGGAAACCUGCAGAGAGUCUGGGGGUACGAAUGCUUUGUAUCUGAAUAUUAAAGAGGAGCACGACCUCGUUGCAAAUGAUCUGUUGACUGUUCCAUUUGAUGAGUUCUUCGCGUUCUUCAAUCAAAAGGCCCUCGAUAAACUAAUGGUCUUUUGCUACUGUCUGUAAGUACUAUUUCUGUCAUUAAGUCUCUAUAUAUAGCUCGUCUCUUUCAUUUCAUGUAUUUAUAAUUAAUUAUCCUCAAUAUAUUAUGCAGACUGAAGAUCGUCGAGUGCAAAAAAUAAGAAAUUUAUGAUAUUGGGUUUAUUAACACAAAUAUCAUAGAUGAAUUUCUGGUUAAAAAGGACGUCAAAGAGGCCGAGGACAACUUGCUACAAUCGUUGAUCAAAAAUCAAAACAAAGAUACCAUACUCUUUCCUUACAACGGCAAGUGAGUGUUACUGUCGUGUGCAUAUUCGGUUUCCCUUAUUACUCGAGCGAGGUUAUAGUAAUGUAAUUAAUGAGUUAUGCAUGCGUGCGCAGGUACCACUAUAUUCUUCUGGAGAUUAAGCUUGAGCGUGGACUAGUAACCGUCUUAGACUCGAGACGGAAAGAUCCCAAAACCUAUGCGGACAUGACUGAAAUGCUCAGCAAGUAAGUUCAAUCGAUCAUUAUCGCACCAUAUCGGCAACUUUUUGUUCAUUUCCUGAUAUCUCAAGUAAUAAUAAUUAUUUUCUUUGUCUUGCAGGGCUUGGAAACAGUUCACCGCACAAGCUCCGGGACUGCCGAAGGAGCUGCGAUAUACAUACCCGAAAGUAAGUACUACUGGCUAGCUAGUUGCGCGCAUCUCCCGUUGAUUCUAUAGCUAUACUUUCAUCAAUGCCAUUUAUAAUGCUUCAUUAUCAGUUUGAUUGACCUCUAUUUCUCGUAAAGUGCUUGUGGCAGGAAGAAGGGAAUGAUUUCUGUGGAUAGUACGUGUGCGAGUUCAUCCACAACGCGACUUUGAAAAACAAGUGGGGCUACUCUCAAAGAUAAUAUGAAGUGUGUAAGCAAUAAUAUUCACAAUUUAAUUUUAUUACACCAUCAUUUCUGUUGAGUUUCAUUCAUAUAUAUGUAUUAAUUAACCCCCUUCUUCAAAUUAGACGUGGCAGAUGCGGAAUGAACUCCUAGAACCAGAUCGCAUGAAAGCAAUUCAAGAGGAAUUGGCGGGAUUCUUUGUUGACCACGUCAUCAAUAAAGCCGGAGAAUACCAUGUGGAAAUUGAUUUCAAUUGCUAGGGGAUUGUAAUUAAGAGAUCUUAUACAUAUUGUACAUGUAUGUAGCCAGUAGCGUCGGAUACAUGAUAUACGAAAACUUGUUGUUCGACCAAUCUCUCGGAGAAGGAGAGGUCGAUCGAUCACUUCUCUCGGUAUGCAUGACGAACUUCUGUACUCAAUGGUUCUCUCGAUCACUUAUGUAUAUAUAGUACGUAGCNNNNNNNNNNNNNNNNNNNNNNNNNNNNNNNNNNNNNNNNNNNNNNNNNNNNNNNNNNNNNNNNNNNNNNNNNNNNNNNNNNNNNNNNNNNNNNNNNNNNNNNNNNNNNNNNNNNNNNNNNNNNNNNNNNNNNNNNNNNNNNNNNNNNNNNNNNNNNNNNNNNNNNNNNNNNNNNNNNNNNNNNNNNNNNNNNNNNNNNNNNNNNNNNNNNNNNNNNNNNNNNNNNNNNNNNNNNNNNNNNNNNNNNNNNNNNNNNNNNNNNNNNNNNNNNNNNNNNNNNNNNNNNNNNNNNNNNNNNNNNNNNNNNNNNNNNNNNNNNNNNNNNNNNNNNNNNCCGCUCCUUUCAAAAAAAACAAAAACCCCAGCCACUGGAAGGCUGACGCGUGGAUGCCUUUUGGUCCCGGUUGGUACCACCAACCGGGACCAAAGGCCCCCUGACUGGGCUCGGCGCACAGGGCCACGUGGAGGCACAUUGGUCCCGGUUCGUGUUUGAACCGGGACUAAUGGGUGGAGGUAUUAGUAACGACCCAUUAGUCCCGGUUCAUGAACCGGGACUAAAGGCCCUUACGAACCGGGACUAUUAGGUGUUUCUCUACUAGUGAAAAGGCCCAAGUUCAACUAUACUCUUUGAUGUUUUGGCUAUGGGCUGGGCCGGCUAUGGCCCAUCUGCCUUGCUUUAGCUCCACCAGUGGUCAAGACUAUCAAGAAAAGGCACCAUGAAAAUUACUAUAACAAAUUUUCUCUUACUCAACUCGCAAUAAGAAAAAUCUCUCGGUGAUAGUGCUAUGCAACAUACGAGAGACCAUAAUAAUCUCUCACCCGUCCCAUGGUGCUGGCAGGGUCAACUCUAUAAUUUUGAGAGCCCUUGUGUGACAUUGGCAAAUUGAUAGUCUUUUUUUCUUUUAUUGUGCAUGAAAACUCCUUUUAAGCAACAUUAUAGUAACCCUAAAACUGACAAGGAAAGUAAAUACAUAAGUAGAAUUUUAGAAAUCAGAGCACUAACAUUUAACAUGCUUCGACGAAUGGGUGGCUCUGGUAAUAUGGAUAUGGAUACGAGGAAUGAGAGGCCUAGAGAGUGACAAGUUCAUGCUUUGUUGUCACAGACACCCGAGGAGGCGGCAAGACACUCACGUCGUCAAGCUACGAGACAAACCUGUGAAGAUGAAGAUCACGAAUUACAAUUAGGAGAACUGGUGAUGCCAUGUGUCCAUGUCGCACACCGAUUAUGAUUAUUUUCCUUUUUAUGGACCAGUUCAACCAAGGCUAAAGGCCUAAAGCUUCUUGGAGAGCGUGUAUACCUUAAUUUUAGGAGAGCUCAUUUGAAAAAAGCCAGAAGACUAAAAAAGAAAAAUCAGGCCGAAAGUUUCCAUAACCAAAGUUGGCCCAUAAGCUUCUGGAAGCUUCCUAAAACCGACAGGAGGGAGCUUCCUCUCAUGUGAAUGCCAUAGAUUGGGCAGCCCUUUUAUAAUCUAUUGAAGGAAGAGGUGUGUGCGCUUUUUACCAAUAACUUGGAAACCAAUGCUAAAUAGCAUAUUUCCACUUUUAGCGCGGCGUAGAACAGAAUUUGACUAUAGAUCCACGGUAUGGGCAAAUCCCAACAUUUUUUCUAUAGGGGCAGAUGCCUCACUCUAACGAGUAGGAUUUUUUUGUUCUUAUUUUCACAUUUUUCUUUUCAUUUUUCCUAAUUUUCUAGAAAACGCUCUAUAACAUAUAUGGGUGAUCAUAUAGUUUAAUAAGUGUUCAUGUACUUUAAAAAUGUUCAUCACGUAUUUAUAAAAUGUUUUCAAAAUAUGAAACAUUUUUGAAAUACACAUGCAAUUACAAAAGUGUUCAUAUUUUUCUGAAAAUAUACACUAUGAAUAUCUUGAACAAUAUGGAUGAAGAUUUAUUUUAAUACAUGAUGAACCUUUGAAAUCACAAUAUUUUCUAAAAAAUACACAACGAUUUUUAUAUACACAAUAAACAUGUUUUUCAUACACGAUGAACAUUUUGUAAAAACAUGAGUGAACAUUGCCCAACUCCGAUGAGGGAGGGCCAAUGAUGGUAGUACGCCUUCGCCUUGCUCGAGUGAUUGUAGACAUCGCUAGGUGGUCUACGGACCAGGACAUAAGUUCUGUUACCUCUGGUGUUCUUGUACUGACAUGAUGGUUGAUAAGUAGAUCAGAUUUUUUCCGUAAUCUUAUUAAGAAAAAUGUUCAACUUGUCUUACAAAUUGUUCCAGAGAUUAAGAAAAAUAUAUUCGCAUUUUUCAAAAAGAACAGUACAUUUCAAUUUUUUCACAUGUUUAGAAUAUUGUUCAUGGCCAUAUUAAAAUAUUCAUGAAAUAUAAAAAAUGCGUUAUUACAGUUUUGGAAAGAUGUUUGUGGUAUAUAAAAAAUGUUCAUCAUGUAUUUAUAAAACAAUCAAACUUGUAUUAAAAAAAUAUUAUAUGUGUAUCUGAAAAUGUUUAUUAUUUUUAAUAAUUUCAGUGUGUAUUUGAAAAAUAGAAAAAAAAACAUGAAACAAUGAAUAGGAAAAGUAAAAGAGAAACCAAAAAUGAAAAACCUAAACAAACCCAAUAAACAAGAGAAAUAAAAAACCGGACAAAACGUUAUGAAAUCACAAGAAACAAACAAAUGCUACACACCUCCACCACUACUGGGCCACAGCCCACACCGCAUCGCCAGAGACAUAGCAUUUGCGCAAAAUGACCGCACGCAUUGAACAAACUGUCGGCUAGCUAGUUAUUAGAAAGACAUGUAACUUAAUUCAAACUCAACAAAAUUAUAGCUACAAUGCUUUGGAUCAUAGAUACAAGAAAUUACAAAAUAACUCAUAUAACUAAGAAUUACAAUGAAACCCUCUUGAGUCAAAAUAUGAUAAACAGAGGAAAAAAACAUUAGCACAUAUAAUCCUUACUCUAUCCGAAUAUAUGGCGGUGCUAAACUUAGCAACCCCAUUAGUUUUGGAGCUCCAGCUUCAUGGAGUCUUUUUUGGAAAAUCAUACAUGCAUAACUAAAACACACUCAUGCAUGAGGCUGGAGAAUCAGGGGCAUGCAGCAUCAAAAUAGGUUAGUUUGUCGGAGAGUUAGAUUUAAUAAUUUGAGACAUUACGCAUGAUAAAAUUGUCAUUGGUAUCUACCAUUUUGAAACUGUGCACAGUAUACCGGGCCAGAGGGAGUGCUUGAGAAAACACUGAGAGUCAGCGAAAACUCGGUCUACUAAGCAAACCAUGGAGCCUUGGGGCGUCCUAACAGGUGGUGAAGCUCACGCACGAGGUGACUGCACAAUCGGGCCAGUUCUUUUCCGGAGAGCUUUCCUUUCGAUUGUGAAUUGAACUGCAGCGAUUGCUUUUUACUUUGUAUUGCAUUGCACAAACGUGUACACUGUCUAUCUUAAUUUCUAAAUGAUGGCCGGUCACAUGGACGUGUGAGCACGGGAUUGACAAGGCAACUAACAGAAUUCUAUUACUACGAGGAGGCAACUGAUAAAGUAAAAAUAUUGUUACCCACCCUACUAUCAUCAGAUGGAGACACGCACGCAGAAUCCACUGGACAAGGCGACUAACAUAAUUCUAUUACCACGAGGAUGCAACUAAUAGAGUAAAAAUAUUGUUACUCACACGUACUACCACCACAAAAGACACACACGCAGAAUCCAGCUGUACUUAUUAACACGUCUAGCUACCUACGUGUGGUUUCUUCAUUUGUAAUCAACUAAUCAACCAAUAUAACUCCACCGACAUGUUAUACAGUACUACUUGUCACUCCAGCUAGGUAACUGCAAUGCUAAUUAAUGCAGCCUCCAGAUCUGGUUUGUUUCACCCAGCCUAUAAAACCACACAAUAUGUACCUUCAGUUCUCACACAACACACACACAAAGCACAGCAGGUGCAACACUAACUGCAAGCACAAGAAGUAGGCAGCAAUGGCGAAGCAUCGCCUCCUUGCCGUGCUCCUCAUCGGGAUAGUUGCAGCUUCCUCUUUCAACCAAGCAGCUACGGCUGGCCGAGGCCUUGCUGUUGUUGAGAAGUUCGCAGAGCUAGAGCCAAAGCCAGAACCCAAACCAGAGCCAAUGCCCAAACCUAUGCCACACCCAGAGUCAGAGCCCUGCAAACCUGAACCGCUGCCCAAACCCGAACCAAAGCCUGGACAGAAACCUGAACCAGAACCCAAGCCCAAGCCGAUGCCAAAACCAAAGCCAAAGCCCAAGCCCUGCUCCAAACCGAAGCCAGAUCCUAAGCCCGAGCCAAUGCCGAAACCCGAACCAAAGCCGGAGCCCAAGCCUAAUGAACCGAAACCGAAGCCGCCUCCUAAGUGCAAACCACCGACAGCUCACAACUGAUGGGAUACUUGUAUAU